rnacentral:lncRNA from 1 species
UUAAGUGAACCGAACACAAUUUAAUUCCAAUAAGAGGUUUCCUUGAAGUCUUGGGAGUAGAUCAAGUUACAUCAUAACUAGUCAUCUUUUGAGCAAGCGCUUCUAACUGCCAACUUAAACAUUACAAGUUUGCAAUGACAGGAAUCAAGGUUUAUUGUAAAGAAAAUGCAGAAAGCAAUAAAAGAGAGGGAGAAAGCUUUGGAGGCUACAUUGUGUCUAUCUUGAUUGAGAGAUAAUGAGGUUACAACAAUACAUAUAGGACUUAGAAUAUAAAAUGACGUAAAUGCCCUUGCGAUUUAAUUGUCAUAAACCUAACAUAUAGUUAACACCCCCCCCCCCCCCCCCCCCCCCCCCUCCCAACCAUAUGGUUGGGAACAAGCAUAAUGGUUGCCUGCAAACUACACAGAUAUAGCCCAAAAAAUACAAGAAAACACCCAAUUCAAUAACCCAAGAACUUGAUAUGAUAAGAUCAACUAGCUUCCAUCUUGACUUGCAGCAGAAUUGGUAUAAGAGGAGAGGCAGCUUGCUGGAAAAAAACCUCAAAGUUCUCAUGGUGAAAGCAACGGCAGUAAGGCAGCAAUAUAUAAAACAACCUGAGCAGCAAGUGAUAGAAAACUGAAAAUUUCUUCAUAUUUGACUGAAAACUGAUAUGAAUACAAACUGAAAACUGCAUAUGACUGCUAACAACUUUCUGAUAUUCAUUUGCUCACUACCAGCAACCUCACGAAAUUUGCCUUUAUCUGAAACUGAAACUACAUUUGCAUUCCAGCAGCUCAAUAUCAUCAACUUCGGCCUCUCUCUAAAACCAUCUGCAAUUUUCUCAUUCAUUCACAUAAAACAGCAGCCCAUUACUUGGAAACCAUCAACAUAAUAGCAACAUGCAGAUCCUCUCAACUCCUCUCUAUUUUGCAUAAGAAGAUCAAUGUAACAUCCCUUCACCAUUCAAGCUCUUAUAGCAGCAAUAUGACCAUUACACAUUAUACAUAGCAGAUAUGCAGCAAUCAUGGAACCAUCUCUCAAAACGAGCACAACUUGCACACAAGUCAUAUAUUCAGACCAUAAUCUAACCCAUCAAGCCAAUUCACCAGUCCAAAAACAAAUUAUAAACUGCUUCGUCACCUUUUCUUUUGGUUGACGGCAAACAAACUAUGAUAAGAAAAAUUAAACUGGAAAACUGAUGAAUUGAUCAUAACAACCCAGACUAGAGAGAAAAUCCACGACUCAAGUGAAAGAGAUGCCAAUCUGACAAACAGUACCAACUUUGCUGUAUAUACUGUAUACUAUCAUCAACUCUCAAUUCUUCUUUGCACAGUCCAUAUCCAAUUCUAAAAAGACUCUCCCAAAGUUGCACAGACCGGCAAAAGAACCCACAGAAUCAAUCCAUAACCCAACUUGAUAAGCUAGAAUCACCAAACCAUAAAAGGAAUAUAAAUUUCUUCAAUCUUAAACUUCAAACUUUGAUAAAAAUAAAAAUGGCAAACUGACAACUACUAGCAGAACAACCGAGACUAAAGAUCGAUCAAUUCCACGAUUCAAAUGAUAGAGAUGAUGAAUCGGAGAGAUAUUACCAAAUUUUCGGAAGAAACUGAUGCUAGAGAGGAGAGAGGCAGUUGAAACACAAUUGCAGAAUCCCAAAUCCAUACGACAAGACGACGACAUCGAAUGGAAAGUUUCCAGUCGCCGGAGAGAACAAGAACGUCUCCAGGAGGGAAUCGAUUCAAGAUUGGGGUUACGGUUUUGAAAUUGGGGAUCUGAAAUUGAAAGGAACUUGAAAAUGCGAAAGCAACUACGUAUCGAUAAACACAGAAGCCACAAGGUACCGGAUCAGAUACCAUGGGCUCUGAUACCAUGACAGGAAUCAAGGUUUAUUGUAAAGAAAAUGCAGAAAGCAAUAAAAGAGAGGGAAAAAGCUUUGGAGGCUACAUCGUGUCUAUCUUGAUCGAGAGAUAAUGAGGUUACAACAAUACAUAUAGUACUUAGAAUAUAGAAUGACGUAAAUGCCUUUGCGAUUUAAUUGUCAUAAACCUAACAUAUAGUUAACAUGCAACAUAGCUAAUCUUGAUCAGAAGAUUUCAAUCAAUUGCUUGCUAAUCUAUUUUUUCUUGGGUCGAAAUUGAACGGCUGAUCAGUUUUGGUCUUGCUAAUUAAGUUUAUGAAUGUAUGACAUCAGCCUUUUCAAUCUUGAAAGAUUUCAAUCACUCUCUAUUUUUUUUUUUUGCCAUUGAUCAGCUUGUUUACUCUGCUGUAAAUCAACCUGUGAGUUCUGUUUUGAGUUGGCAUGUUCUUGAAGGAUUAGUGAACAAUAAAUAUAUACUUUGCAUACUUGUUUUUAAAAUAGAGCUUUUCUCAUUACUCCUUUUACAACUCAGAGCCUCAACCUUAUAUAUACAAGAACAUGAAAUUGGAAAUCUAGUUGAUUUUAGAACAUAAAGAGUAGAAAGAAAGAAACAAAGAAAGAAAGAAGGAAAGAAAGGAAGCAAGCAGUGCGUUAAGUUUGAACUAUUAGCUAGGCCACUUCCGAAAUUUUAAGACCAAUUUGGGUUCUUCAAUUCAGCAAAAGCUAUCUUCCAUGAGCUUAACAAAUUCCUCAAAGUCUAUACGUCCAUCUCCAUUUUGAUCGAAGGACUUGAUCAUUCUUUUGCAUUCUGACUCCGAAGCUUGGAUGAAACCUAAUACAUGGAGAACCUUCUUGAUCUCCCCUGCAUCGAUGAACCCAUCUGCAUUUUCAUCAAACAAAUGGAAGGCGUCUUUCACUUCCUCCAAGCUGGGUUCCUCCUCAAGCAAGUCAGCCAUCUCCUUAGCCCCAUUAUCAUCACAUAAACUUCCCAGGUUCUCCAUAACCGCUGCCAACUCUCCUAAACACAGUUUCGUGUCACCCAAGUCUUUCGUGUUCUGUUCGACACCUACUGUCUUGUAAAUGCAAGCUUGCUGGGUUGUGAUCUUGGUCUGAUUAUUGCGGCAAACAUUGCGCAGACCAGUAUUAAGCAAGUAACUUACAAAGAAUUGAAGCGCAUACCUCAAACUUGACAAGUGUAGAAAGAAUUGCACAAUGAGCCACUUAAUAAUCAUUAUGAAAAACAGAACCCCAACAAGUGCAAGGGAGCUGCUGGCAAUUGCAUCAUCCAUGAAUGUCUUCUCCAUUUCUGGGUGGGAAUAGAAAAACUGAAAUGCUUGACUGAUUUAUUGUUAGUUGGGUUAAGACUUGCCAAUGGAGUGUGGAAGCCACUCUUCGGUGUUAUAUAGAAGUAUAGAACUACCUGAAAUGAAGUCAAGUCAUCCUGGAGAUUAAGCGUUUUGGAAAAUGCAGUCACAAGUGAUCCAAAUUUCCGUGAAAUUAUAACCAAAGACUAUUACUGUGAAAUUUCCAUACAAGUUAGGAGUUCGUCACUUUUAAUGUUUAAUCAAAUUAGGGUUGUUAUGUGUGAAAACUUCUGUGUAGUCACUAUGAGUACUCGGGGUGUGUGAGGGAGACAGAAACCCAAAACAAGUAUGGGUGGAGUUGCACAGAAGUUGCAGUGUGAAAACGAUCAAACAUGUCUAAGUCUUCUGCGUAGCCAGGAAUUAUGCCAUACGUAACAAUAAUUCUCAACUUGCAACUCCACGAAAAAUACAAAAGAAAGUGUCCAAUGUUAGCAUCGGAUUCUAUGUCGCCAAGUUUUGAUUGAUUUUAACAGAGGUAUGGAUUAUUGACACAGUUUAUCAUACUUCCGAGUAUUUCUUUUUCCAAUUUGUCACUGGCUUUCACAUGUUUCUUGUUAAUGUGAAACUCGCAUUUUUUUUUUCUUUUAGAAUUUGAUCCAUUUGGGUAGGUCUAGUGAAAACAUGUUAGGUUGCAAAUAAGACGGGACGUUACAUAAAUUGCUCAUGAUCCCGGAAUGGUCUAGCUCAAUCAACCACCAUUUUUUAACACCAAAAAGAAAAUUGGAAAUUUUGUUCCUCGUUCCGUAAUCUUCCCAAGUUAGUUAUCUUCAUAUUUUAUCACGUUUACUCUUCCUCUCAAAAAAAUUAUAUAUCACAUUUACUCGUCCGUGUGAGUCAAAUUUCUUCACCAGCAAUAUGGUUUCACUGUCUCCCUAUUAUAGUGUCCCCAACGUUCCAGCUGGAUCAGCUGGGAGUGAAUGUAUAUCGAGGUUUUGUUUUGCAGUUAUUAUUGUCUUUUCACUUGUUAACAAGAAAAAAAAAAAUCACCACUAGCCCAAAUGAUAUUGGGUCAAGAAAGGCCCCAAGAAAAUGGGUUUAUACUUUGCGUGGCCUAUUGGGUCGACCCGGCCCAACGAUUCAGUCUGAUAAGCUUAGAGAAGCAAAAACCAGCUGAGAAAGAUGAGGCCAGCAAGCAAAGAACCAACGCGCCGGAGCCGCCCUUCAUCUCCGUUAAGGGACCGAAACCCAAUCUCGCCCAGGUCUCGUCACUCCGGGCCCACACCACCACGAGCCUUUCUCCUCGAUGACGUCACCGACUUCAACAACCCAAGAAGCUUCCCUCACAAUGUGAAGAAGCAAUGCUGGGAGAAGGCGGAGAAGAUCAAAGGGCGGGACCCGGAUCGCUGGCGGCGAGACCCGCUCGGAAACACAGUGUUCCGGAAGCUCGUGGGCUGCCCCGGUUGCUUAUGUCAUGAUUACGAUCACAUUGUGCCGUACUCUAAGGUGAAGUCAUAGUCUUUUGUGUGUUUCUGUUUGUGGGGAUUGCUUGGUUUGGAUUGGUUUGUGUUCUGUGAGGUGGGUUGUGUUGGUUUUUGAGAUUAUGGCUAUGUUUGUGAUCAAAGUUCUUUGCUUUUUUGCUAUAUAUUGUGCAUUUUUGUAAUGGCAUUGUGAGCAUUCUGUUUGGAAGAUGGUACAUUUUGGAAAUGCUUGUGUUAUUCAGUUCCAUAUGUUUAUAGGACUCAAGAAGUUGUGUUCUUUUGGUCUAUGGCGUUGCUUGGAAUAUAGUUCUGUUGCUGAAAAUGGAUGUUUGUAACAUGGUUAUCUGAGACUAGAAGUUGCUCAAAUGGCUGGAUUCUGUUUUAUGGUGAUAAUUCUUGUAUACAUUAUGUUAUAAACUUAUAAUGCAGUUUUAUCAGUAUGAAUAUGUAAAUGGCUUUCUAGUUUAACCGGUUUUUGCGAGAAUAUGAAUAGCUGUGGUGAUAUAGGAUUUUGGAUCUGGUCCAGGCCUUUGAACAACCUUUAAUUACUAUUUCAGGAAAUUACUCUCACUGGGUGUAAUAAAGGUAUAUGGGCGUGUCACGUGUGAAUCGUUUACCAGGAUAGUGCCUCAGCUAAUUGUAGGUUGGUCCAAAUAAUUGUGUAACAUAAUAUGAUAGGAUUGCUACAAACAUAAUCCAGGAACUAAUGUGCACUCACUGAGGCAUCAGUUGCCCAGGAGGAGCUACAUAUCAUGUUUUAGUGAGAAGCUUCUUUUGCAAUCUCUAUCAUGGAGAUUAAAUGGUUGGCAGAGCUCAGGAUUCUAAUUGGCUUGGUGCGGCAGCUUUGUGACAACAGUCUAAAAAAUUUAGGGACGAGAGUUUCAUGUGCCUUAUGUUCUUGUGGAUGGAGAGGGAUAGUGUUUUGAGGAGAUAUUAGGAGUGAACAUUCAACACUCCUCAUACUUCUAUUUCUUUGCACUUUUAAUUAAUGUAUGCUUCUUGUGUACUGGGUGACCCAUGUUAGCAUGUUUUUGAGUUUCCUAUAUGUAGGUAAAAGCAUUUUACUUUAUAUAAUAACCUCGAUAGUUGAAUUGCUUGGCUUAUUUUUUUUCCUGUAAAACCAUGAGUACAGAAAUGGAGGAAUGAUUUUAAAUUUUUGACAUUUCAGGGAGGAGAAAGUACGCUCGAAAAUUGUCAGGUUUUACAGGUGUGGACGUAUUCUCUCUUUAGAAGCUUGGUUUAUUAAAUAAAUGUUAUAUUUUUAAUUAUUAUCUGCUAUCUCUGGUCCAAAAAAUACCAUUUUACCUGUGUUUAUAAAUAAUCUUGCUACAUAUACCUCCACUACUCAGAGAUGGUUUAGCAAAUCAGCAAGCUGAUAUCUAAUGUGGCCAAUAGCAUCAAAGAACUACUGUAGAAGAGUGCAGGACAGAGUUGUAUGUUGUGUGAAAUCCUAGUUUAGAAAUGACUGUUAAUCAGCAGAGUUCAAAAAGUGAUGAACCAUGCAGAUAAACCUUAUCAUUUCUCUCUCAAAGUCAAUUUUAAGUCAUUCACUAAAUCUCACCAAGGUUGCACAUAACAUCUUCAUCUCAUUUUCUUUUAUGUGUAGCCUGUACUUAACUUGCGCCCAAAUUUUAUUGGAACUGGAGUUCACCUUGGUUUUUCUAGUUUCUGUAUCCCGUCUUAAAGAACAGAAAAAUUUACCCUAGAAAAUAUUUUACAUUUGUUAAAAAUCUAAAACCAUGUGUUCUUCUCUUCCAUACUGUAGGCAAAAGUGAACAGAUCAAAAGGAAACCGAACAGAGUUUUCCAGGGCUGAGCUCAUACAGAAAAGUUCUUACUGUCGGGUUUCAGGUAUCCCAUGAAACUCCAAAAACUUGCGAACGUCCUUGAGAGGAAGAAUUCAACUAAUUGAAUAACAGAUAACAGAGUUUCUUUUACAUGCAGGUCGUGAUAUGGAUCUAAUUGAACUGUCAGCCUAUGGUAAUGUCAGUCCUGCAAAAGAAGAUUCAUACUGUCGGGUUCCAGGUAAUCUCAAAAAACUCCUGAAGUCCUCGAGGGGAUGAAUGCAACUAACUGUAACAUGUAGAAGUUUCUUGAAAGUGCAGGUCGUGAUAUUGAUCUGAUUGACUCAGCCAAAGGCAACAUCCGCAAUGCACAAGAGUUUUGGGGGUGUACAAUCCAAUAAUCUGUUGUGUACGCAUUAAGUUCUAACAUGGAGACUGGAAAACUAGGUUCCAGUCAUAUUUGUAUCAAGCUGCAUAGAAUGUCAUUCAGUGAUUGUAAGAGGAGCAGUAUGAGGACAGUCCAUUUACAAAUCCUCAUGCGCAAGGUUAGCUAUCUGUAAAGUGAAAACCAUAGCUUGUUGAUUACACUUGUGAUGGAUGUAUGCAUGGUCACGAUAAAUGAAAAUUCUUCCUUGACAAACACUGACUUCUCACUUCAAAUUUGUGUUUAAGGCUAGCUUUAAGUGUACCUAUUAAGACAGUAGCAUAUCGGUAAUCACCAACUUGAACUAAUCAUCUUUAGCUCUUUAAGAAAAGAUAGAAAGUUGGCUUAUAUAUAUGUGUGUGUGUACAAGUAGUUUGAUUAUAAGAUAGAUUACUCAAUCAGACACCUUCAAACUCCAAACGUGGUGUUCCUUCUAUACUCUAUAGAGGAAAAAGAAAAGAUGAAAGAAAAAGUUGGAUGUUGGUUCUCUUUUCUUGCUUUCUGUUGGGAAAGUGAAGCUUCACAUCCCACUUUCUUUCAAGUGCUUUUUCAUGUUUUUUUCUUUUCCUGAAGAAGCAUUUCAAAUGUUAGAAGAAAAAAGCUAAAGAAAGUAGAGACACACACUUGAAAAACUUUUUGUUAUUCUCUGAUUGGAAGCUCCACUAUGAUGCGUAUACAGGUGUUCCACUUCCAUUUGAAUUCCUGUGAUUUUUAUGAAUGGUCUGUAUAUAUGUAUUGAUCGUCAUACGUUUACGUGGGUAAUAGUCUACAAUACUACACAGAUUUAUUUAUAUCUUGAAAUAUGACGGAGUGUGUCGCUAAACACAAUUACUAAUGACCAAAUUAUUCAGAACUGAAUAAUCUCAUUUUUAAUCCUCUCUUUUUAUUGAACUAGGAUACGGUUGAACACAUAGUUUUUGGAAUAGAUAGGUUUGAACUUUCAAUAAGAGCACUAGACUGGAGGAUAAGUUUAUAGUGGGAGAUUGACUGACCCAUAAUGAAAAGAGCUGCAUUUCCACGAGCAAUGCAGAGAGUCAACAUUAAACUAAUAGGAGCACUUGGCCUAAUUGAUCAUAUCAUUUUCAUAGUUCAUAGGCAGAGUGCUAUUAUUGCAGUCGAAAUCGCUGACCAGAUUGAUACAAUUUUCUCUGAAAUCUUUCAUCAAGGAAAAUGAACCAAGUAUAUGAAACUCCAUAACCUGGUUCUCUAAUAAUCGACAUCAUACACCUAACUGUAAUCAGUCCUAUACCUAAUUGGUACGGGUUAGGUGUUUGUCUUAUAAACUGAAACCAAAUCCUCAGAAUUAAUCGCUAACUGAGUUUUUGUGGCCAAGUGUAAUCUGGCUUGAGUGCUUUAGUGAAACAGUUUGUGCUGUCAUCUUCACUGAACAAGAAUGAAGAGUUGCAGAAAGACUACCAAUUAGCUAUUCUAUAAGUGUUUCUGCGGACAUGUUCCAUGUUCAACUUCCCACGAUUAAAAAGGAAAGAGCUGGGGAAGUCUUUUCUUUCCUUUUCCCUUUUCACUCGGGUGAAAUUGCUAAUAAUGUAAAGCCUUGUGUAUGAAGGGUCUGUGGAAAAGGUAGAAUUUCGUGUUAGAACAGUUAGAUUGACAUGACUUAACCAACCGUUUCCUUACUUUGAUUUCUUCACAAUGUGACUUUUAUGGGUGAUUAGUUAGAAAGAGAGGUCAGUUCCUUCUAGGGUAGGGAUAUAUCAUUAGCAUUGCUGCAUUAGGCAUCAGGUACUUGUGAUCCACAAAAAGUAGAACUUGUAAGGUUGUGUUGUGUUCAAGGUUUAGUUUCGUUUUUAAUGGAUAGUCUGGUACAAAAAUCUAAUGGUUAUAAGAUAGUGAUACAGAUACUGAACCAACCCUGUCAUUAUUGUCUUCUUUGUUUCCCAGAAACUUGAAAAUUAGGCAUAUGGAUGAAAUGGGAUGGGUAGUUGCUUUCGUAUAGAAAAGGAAAAUAGCAAAAAGGAAAGGAAUUAAAAGGAGGGAAGAGUGCCAAAAGGAUUCAUGGCAUUAUGUGCAAUUUGGGUCCCCUAACAACUCAUCUUUACAUAAAAUGUGGCCUGAAUUGCUUGGUUGCACCAAAAUAUCUGUGUAUUUAUAAUUUCUUGAUUGGUAUGAGACACACAUGUGUUUGAUGUUGAUGUAUCUACCAAGGUGCUUUACAAUGCAAUUAGGUAUUUUCAUUUCAUUUCAUUCCACUAAGGUAAUCCUAUGAUCCAUAAGUUUUUUAUUGAGUUAGGACUUAGCACACUUUCCUGGUCUCUAAUUGCUCAAGUUAAUAUGUGUUACCCUAUCUUUUACCUAUGAAUCUAUGAUUAAUCUUGCUUCUUACAGUUUUUCUUCGUAAUUAUUGAAGGAGAAGAAAACAAGAAGAGAGCAGGAAAAUAUGAGGCAGGCCCUGCAGCUCAACUUGUGUGCAAGUUGCUUAGGUCCUUUGCUGGUGAAAGGGACAGCAAUUUGACCCUUGUGGAAUAUUUAUUCAAGUUUAUCUACUCAAUGGAGUCACUAAAAGAUCAAUUUUGUUGGUUUGUCUGCAACUCCAUUUCAGCUUAGGGCCCCUUCUUCAUUAAUCUUCAUCUUUUGAUCUAGAAUUUAGAUUUAGAGCAAGACCAACUAUACUGCCAAAGAUUUUUCUUCUAAUUUGAACAAAGAACCAGAGAGAAUGGAAGGCAAAGAGAUAAAGGAUGAUGUUAAUUUUACAGCUAUGUAUUUCACAUGAAGAUAUGUACAUGAACAACACAAACUCAGAGUACAUCAGAAGGAAUCUGUGCAUGCUGUUUGUUACAAGAAGGCAAAAUUAGUUUCCACUAGUACUAGUUUCCCUAUCUUACUGAGGAAACCCUAGAGUUGAGACUGGCCGGAUGGGGUUAGCUGUCAAAACUCAUUCGAGAGACGAUUGAAUCCAACCUCACUAUUCCAGCUUAUGCGAAAGGGUAACACCAUGGCGUAAGUGAACCAAUUCAAGUGCUCUCGUGGAAGUUGAGUGAUCUAGACAAGGCUGCUGGGUUGGCUAGCAUAGCCGGAGAGGUUUCAAGGACAUGUUUCUUUUGAUCACCCUUUGAUUGUGAUUGGAAGGCCUUAAACAGCCCUUUCCCGCUGCUGAUGCAAUCGUUCUUGAUCCCAAGUGUUGACCAUAUCGAACUCUUUGCAGCCUCACUUGGGUCAUCAAUCCUUAAUGUUUUCGGAACCAGAACACAUCCAUUUUUCUGUUUCGAUGGCUCUUCUUUCUCCAAGUGAACUUCUGGUCUGAGAAUCUCUCGCUCCCUUGAAUGCUUCCCCAGAAUUGGAGAACUUGAGGCAGAGUUUGGAGUCUUUUGGUUUGGAGAAGCAGGCUGUGGAUUGAACCAAGGAACUGGUACUUGGAAAGGGAUGCCACAAUUCCAAUAAGGUGCAGGAAACACUGGUAUAGGCAUUCCCGGAGGGGCAAAAGCCGGUGGGGGAACUGCGGAAUUCCAUUGAUACGGCCAAGGAACACCAGGAAGACAUGGAAUAUGUGAGGAGAAGCCAUUGGCAUUUGGAAUUUGUGGUUUCGAAGCUGUUAUAUCAUCACCAUUUUCUUUGUCCUUGCAAGGAGCUGGAAAUACUAAUUCUUCGCUCUUAUGGAAUCCAUUUCGAGUAGUACCAUUUAAGACCUUUUUAUUUGCAAGGUUUAAAACAGAAGCCAUGGAAUCACAGACUGGUGUAUCUACGCCAAAGCUAAGGACUCUGCCAUUGCUUUUCAAUCCGGGGUGGUGAGCUCCAUUUGGAGCAUCCAUUCGAGCUACUUGAAGAGCAUCGGAAAUUGUGAUCUGGCGAUAGUGUGAGGCAGAGUUCUUGUUCUUCCUACGACCAGCUCCUACAGGCACAUUCCUCAUUGUACCGCCUGCAGUCCAGUAUCUUUGACAGGCCUUGCAGAAAUGGCGUGGUUGAUUGACAUUGUAAUUGUUGUAGUAACAAAAUUUAGUGUCCAUGCUAUUGCAGCGAGGGCAUGGUAGUAUCUUGUCAGGCUUCUUCAGGGUUUUCUCUUUCGAGUUGGUUGCAUCAUUCUGUUCUUUCUCCUCCGGAGAUUUUGGUUUUGCGCUUUCUUCAUCGAUUGAGGGUGUUUUUGGGUUCACAUUACAUUCUGGUAGCAUUUCCAUACUGGUUGAGUCUUCAGUUUUUGGAGAAUCAUCUUGUUCUUCUAUGCUCUCAGUGGCUUUUGUUGAUGGUGAAUCCUGAAGUUUCACAAGUAUGCUUUAGGAACAAGUACUGAAAAAUCAGAACAGAAGCAACCAGUGUGAUAACACCUUUGAUUAAAAGAAAAUUAGGAAAAAUUGAGUCCUUUUUCUUUUGGUUUUUAGCUUCUCUGUAGUUUUCAUUGACAUAAUCAAAGCUAUUGAACAUUCCAGAUAUAGAUUGACAACUUGUGAAAUGAAUUCCAAGAAAAUUUAGGAAAUUAUUUUCACAGACUAGUGAAAAGAAAAAUAUCAAUAAUGAAAACAACAGCUUUCUUUCUAGCUUGUGGCUGUGAAGGUAUGGCUCCCUAACAGAUGGGAAAAGCAAGAAACCACUAAUUUCUAAUGGGGCAUUCAAACUAAACUAUGGGGGAAAUUCAAAUCUAAUUGAACUCAACAGACCAGAAGCAGAGAAAAGUAAGAUGAUGACUUAUCAAUUCAUUGAAGCAAAACAGAGUGAUGGAAACAGAUAGUUCUUCAAGCUUUCCACUUUCCAAACACAAAGACUCGAAACAAUUCCCAAGUUCAAAACAAAAACAGUAGUGAGGCAACAGUUUGCAGAAGUAAGAUUAACCCAUGAAAGCUCUCGGCAUUUCGACAAAAGGAUCCCUCUUAGAUUUUCCAAAACACACCUCCUCUCUCUCUCUCAGAUUCACACAAACAAGUGUAUAGAAGCUAGUGUGCAUGUACGUUACCUUGUCUUCUACAUCCUCUUCUUGAUUAUCAACUCGCGAUCGUUUUUCCUCUCUGGCCAGCGAAGUAAACCUCAAGUCCUCGUCGUCGGCGCCGGCCGGAAGCGGAAUCUUCAUGCCGAAAAGCUUGAUCGCCGGGUCCUUAGCUUCGAGCAGCAUGUUGUUGUUUUUUCUUUUUCUUGUUGUUGACUACUGUAAAAAACGCGCGAGUUCUUUCUUUCUCUCUCGCUCUGGCUUUGGCUCAAGGAAUGAGAUUUUGAUCCGUUUAAACUUUAAACAGAAACACAGAGAGAGAGAGAGGGUGGAUGCCACAUCAGCCAAAGGGUUUGAUUCUGAGCCACAAGUUCUUGUGGCCUCCAGAUUUUCUUUUUCAUUUCUUUCUCUCUCUACUCCUAAUUUCUUAAUACUUGGAUUCUCUCUCUCUUUAACCGGGAGCUGCUUCAGCUGCAUGCAAAUUCGGUGCUAUCCAACAUCGACCUUUUUCAAUUCAUGGGAGCUUGUAUGUAUACUCGAUCGGUUUAAAGUUGAUUCUAACUUUAGUAAUUAAAAAACAUUUGGAAUUUAUAUAAAUCGCUUUAUAUUGCAUUUGUCAAAAGAAUUUAAAAGUAUUUGAGUUAUAUAAGUGUAUGUUCUUUAAGGGGUAUCAUUCUAAGAAUCGACACCACGUGUGUUUGAGCUUAUCGGAAUAAGCACUUCAAAUAACAUAAAACACAUGUGUUGAGAAAAAUAACGUUUAACGCUAGAACUUUUGCAAUUGGAAGAAUUUGAUUUGGAAAAGCAUCUCUUCAUUUCUUCGAUAUCGAGAGUCAGGUUUGUUUUGAGGGUUUGCGGUAUUUUGGUAACUAGCUAUAGAACUCAGGUCAUGCCUACUAGUAUGUAUUUCAAAUGAAUUGUCCGUCAAGAUAAAAUAAUUUGCUCGUUUAAUGAUUAAUAAACGAGAUAUUAAUUUAUUUUGAUCAAAGAACCAUCCUAUUGUGCAACUUAGUCUCUAAACCAAAAAAAGAGAAACAAUGUAAAAAAAAAAAAAAAGUCUCCAAAUGAUUUAUAACAAGCCCAGUACCGUUUGGUCUAGUGACAUAAGUCUCUCCUUAUAAGUGAAAUGUCGUCAGUAUUAUGACAUAUUAAUUAUGUAUUUAAUAAAAUAAAAUAAAUACUUAUAACAAAUAAGAGAUUUUUCUAUCAAAAAAUCAGAGAACGUACACUUGCACCAACAUGGCAACAUUAUUGUGUUCAAUAACAUCAGUGUACUUUCCGAUAGACAGUUGAAUGACAAAAAUUGACAUAUUUAAGGAGUUGAAAUCACUUAAUAGAUACUUAGCCACAUGUAAUGUCGAUACAUAACGAUAAUUUAUCCCUUUUGAUCAUAGAAAGAACAACAAGAAGAAGAAGAAACCAGCUCUUCCAACGUUAAACAUGUUUAAUUUAAUAAAAAAAAAAAAAAAAAAAAAACGUUAAACAUGUUUAAGUGAGAACUGGGAAGCCUACCUAAGUUCCCUUUAGAUACUCAACACGUAUCCUAGUGCGCAACACGUGUAAGGCAUCCACCAGUUCAGCUCCACGCUUAAUUUUUUUCUAACUUCGAGAGGCUGACACGCGUCCCGUGUUAGUGGAGUGGGAUUUUUUUUUAAAACGUGAUUAAGUACGAUGUACACUCACUAAAAGCCUAAAGGUCAUAUUGACCCUUGGAACUUUGGAUCAGGAUAAUCACAUAGUUGAUACCCCCAAUUAGACUAUCUGAUUAAACAAGCCUAAUUCUAAAGAAAAAGUUAUAAGAGUUGAGUUGUUAAAUGUCGAAUGGCCCGUGGGCGGCUCAGAAUGGUGUUUAACAUGAUUUAAAAUUAAGAUAAUUAUGCCUGGUAGUUUCAUUUUGAUUUUGACAGGAUGAUUAAUUAUGUUAAGCAAGUGAUUAGGAUGGAAAUUAGAAUAAGGAAUUUCAUGGUCAUUUGUUGUUUAUUAUUUGAGCAAGUUUGCUUUCAAAUGCAAGCUAUGAUUAAUUGAUUAGGAACAUCUUAUGAAACCCUUUUCUAGUGAUGCAUUCUACAAGCCCAAUGGGUACUCUUCCCCAUUGACACACGGUGACUAUUAAGGUUUCUGAAGCCCAAUUUAUCAGCAUGUCUUUUUUAGUCGACAGCCCAAAGAGAAAUUGAAAAGAAUAAACUUGUACUACUUCCUUGAUCAUAUCUGGCACUUCACCAUCAAGAAUUUCUUUUGAUGCUUCUGUCCAAACUAACCGGUCUGCUAUUGGGUUUUGUUCCGGGAUGUUACUGGUAAUUCAUUGACGUCAGCUGUCAGGCAUAUUGGAGACACUUCGAUAUUGGUGGUUGAGGCUACAGCUUUUAAGGAAGCUUUACAUAUAGCGUGGUUGUAAAGAUUCUCUCAUGUGCUGGUGGAAGGAGACUCAAAGAUUAUAAUUGACUGUCUUAAUGAGAAGGCUUCUACUCCAUGGUGUGUUCAUUUUGUCAUUCAAGAUAUUUUGUGGCUCACUUCCCAAUUUCAAGCUAUUGUUAAAUCCGACAUGUUCAUCGUGAAGCAAAUUUUGUGACGGACAGGUUAGCCUCGUUGGGCAUUGUAGCAUCAUCUCUUUUAGUUUAGUUUUACUACUUAUCUUAUUUUGUGUACCUAGCGUUCUAUUUGGAUCAGUUGAGGAGAGGUAUGUCUUCUUAGAAGUUUCGUGUUGUAGUUUGUUUUAUGUAAAACUUUCUUUAUUUAUUGAAAUAAAUUUUUUUUGUUUUUUUUUUGCUCGUAUGGGAGCAGCAAUGCUGGAAGCCCAGGAGAGAAUAAUCGAUCAAAGCGAUGCAUGAGUGGAUCUUAGUGAAUUGUAACAUCAAGAAUCAAUUUUGUCACUUAUAUAUAUACUAGUCUCAUACCUAUACGACACGACCCAUGAGUCAUUGGUUCAGUUGUUAUUAGCAUUUUAAAUUAUUUUUGUUGUAUUAAUAUGUUAUUUCUAUUUAUUUUAUCAAAAAUAUACAGUAUAUUUAAUGAUUUUAUUAUGAGAUUUAAUCUUUUUCUAGAUUCAAGUCAGGUAAUCCACAGUCUGGUGAAACUUAAUAAAACUAUAGUUAAACAGUCAUGACAAUUUGUUUGCUCCGAGAAUUUCACUAACGGAAUUUAUAUUUUGUGUGGAUUCACGGAUCGAGCUCCAUUUUUCUAUGAAAGUUUUGGGAUUGUGCAUGUCUCAAUCUCCUAGCGUGCGAACACUGAUCGAAACUCAGUGGAAAUAAGAGAAAUUGUUGGUGAUCGAUGGAAGUACUUAUUUUCUUUAGAAUGACGAUGUCUUCUUGCUCCCUUCUAAUUCAUUUAUAAAGAAAACUUGGCAUCAUAUGUAGGAAAGGCGAGAAAAAUUCCUCUGAAUUAUCACGCCAUAACCACAUCUUCAAACCUCCUCAAUCCCUUUCUGGUCUGAUAAUCCCAUGGAUACCUAUACAAGUGUGAUCAUAUGUUGUGAAAGGAUUGACUAGCUUGAGAGGGUAUAUACCAGCUUCACUGUACCAGAUCCCAUCAGAAUGGGUUGACAAUAUAUAAAGCUAGCAUGAAUGCAUGAUGAAGUGCUGCCAAUUAAGCAGAAAGCAGUGCUUCUGAAAAUUCAGUGUGCCCUUAUUUGACGCCUUUAGCUUUUGUAACUUUCUCAACCAUUUCGGAUCGUAAGGCUUUAAGAGGUUCACAUUGUUUCCUACUUAAUCAGUAUUAUAACCUUUGGCUUGAAUUGGCUGUUACAUCAGCUAACUUAGUUUGCCUAAUCCACGAUCCUACUUUUACAGACAUAUCAUAAUUUGGAAACCAUAUACAUAAGUGGGCGGUGACCAACCAAACCUUUGAUAAGUAUGAAGUCAAACAAUAUAUAGAUCUCAAAAGCUAAACAGAUCAAUCCUAAUUCUUCUACGUAACUAGUUCAAAAAGAGUAUAAUUCUCAUCAGUUUCAUUUACUAAUCGUAAUAAUUAAACAAAAGCUCAUUCGAUUCAUAACCCUAAAACCUAAUUAAGGAUGCUGCUUGAGCUAGGCACAGUGUGUUCACUUCGAUAUUCUCAUGUAGAAACUAAAACACAAAGUUGGUAUUACAGAUUUACAAUAUAUAUGAGGUAGUCGAUCUGGUAGUCUUUUAAAAAUUUUGCUUGGAAUAUGGGAGGAAAUUUCCAGACUGCAAAUAUUAGUUUUAUGACAGUAACUUUUUCAUGCAUGUAUUUUAGAGAAAGAAACUUCCAUGCUGCCCAGCUCGCAAAAGGGGUGUGACUUGUGAGUGCGAGUCACUCCUAAAUUAUAAAACGAGCAAAUUGUCAUUUGGGAAUUACCAAACACUUGUACAUCAUCUUAAACUACACACACCUCAAUCUCAAACAGAUCUAUUUUUUUAGUGACCUAACACCACCCAUAUAUCAUCUGCAUAUGCUCUACACAUAUAAUCCAAUUCAACCAGAUCUUUCUUAUACGUUUCUUGCUAACCAAGGUAUUAGUCAACCAAGUCAUACUUGAAUCCCAAACUUUGCACCACAUUUAGUGGCUGUUGUUUAUUGACAAGCCCUUUGCUUUUACUGGAUUUCUCUCUUGCAUUCGAUUCAGUAUCAUUGUAUUGAGCUCCAAUUAUGAAUCCCACUAAGACCCUUGUUCACAAAACCCCCAACUUAGUGCAUGAUCUCUCUCAAGUCUUGCCACCCCAUCAUUCUUGUGUCACCCUCCACUACUAAUUUGCACUACUACUUACUGUGUAUGCAGCUACCUAGCUAGUGUGUCUCCCUCUUUCUAAUUUCGUGUUCAACAUUUAAAUAUCAAAUUCCACAGCCACGAUAGACAUGCAUCAUUCAUGGCUCAUUUCAAACACUGUGAUCGAUUUGCAAAUUGCAAAAGGUUGGAAACGCGUACGGCCCCCACGAAACGAACUGUGGUUUCUUUCCUCCUUUUUGACUUUAAACACUAUAAUUGUUUUUUCCACAGCACAAAACAAGGUCCAGAUAGGAAACCCACAGUGUAAUUUCAUGUAUAAAUUGAGUACUACUGCCUUUUUUUGGAUCAGACGACUCAACAUUCAUUCACAGUUUCACACAGGCUAGCUUGCUUCUUCCUGCUGCUUACUUCAAGAUCAUCAGCAAUGGCUAGCAGUACUACUCUCCUUCGUCUACUUGUUAUCUUGUUAGGGUUUUCUCUCCUCAUCUGCGCUAAUGCUGUCCCAGUUACAAGUAAUUUUCUUAUAUUAACCACCUUUUCUCAUACAUUCUCGUUCUUCUUCUACUUUGAUCUUCUUCUGACUUGUUACUUUUGCUUGCAGGAAUCGGAGGCCUUAAUAAGCAUAUCGGACCUGAAGUUCAUCAAACCGUUGCAGAGAAUAACAAGCCGGUAUAUAUAUAUUGACUCGAUUGACAAAAUGGUUUUCUAUGUCAUAUAUAGUGAGGUUCAACAUCUUCUUUCUGUCACUAAUAUUGUAGUUAAUUUGUAUAUUUGAAUUCAGAUGACAACAGAGAUGAGAUUUUCUGAGAGGAUGGAUGUGGAGCUUAAUGACUAUCCGGGAUCAGGGGCCAACAACCGCCACACUCCGAAGCCUCAAUAUGCGAGAUGUGCUGAUUGCUAAAUUAAGAAGAAUAUUUCUUCAGUUGCAAGUGUUUAUUUAUCUGCAUGUGGAUUAGAUCUCUCUCUUGCAUGAUCACUGAUUUUAAGUUUAUUAUUGGGCUGAAAUUAGAGGGGAAUGACUGUAACAGUAGGAGUAGAUGAACUAGGUGAUCGAGGUCUGGAUUAGUAUACAUAUAUAAUUAUAUAUGUACCAAGAGGAGUAUGCAUGGAUGGUCAGAGUAGUAUUGAAAUAUGAACAUCAGUACUGUACUGAAAUGGAUGUGAAAGAUCUAGCUGCUUUCUAUCUAUAUAAAUCCAGUGGAUAAAUUGGGCAGUUUAUGCAUGAUUUCAAAUCCUAUAUAUGUUCCAGUACGUUUUUUUCUGUAUUCCGGUGAUUCCCUCAUUUCCCUGCAGUUUAUGCUGGCUUUUUACGUACUAAGAUGAUCAAGGUACAGCUAGUAAAUGUGAAACUAGAACAGAAAAUUAAGACCAACGUAAAGUUAUAUAAUAGCCAAAAGGAUGAGAAGUUGAGAACUGCUUUGCUCUUUGUUCGUUUUCUUUUUAGUUCCUACAGGCUGUUAACUUGUUAUUGGAGAAAUAACCAAUUCCUAUAGAAUGUCAAAUAGUUAACAACUAGACGUAAUGGCCUUAAACAAGCAUUUGAGGCAAAUGAUCCAAAGCAUAUAUAUAAACCAGACGUCGUGUCUAAAUAUCUCAAAGCAAUAUGGAUCUCAAAGCAAGUGGAGUAAUUGUUUUCUGGUAGAUUUCCACUUUGAUUGCCACUAAGUUGAACAUUGCUGGAAAGCUUGCAAGCACAAAGUUUGUAAUGGAAUCCUUUAGUUAUUCAAACGUAUCUGUUAUCUUCCAUAUCCUCUAUCUAUAUAUAAUAAGCAGCCAUGUUGGAGCUAUAUAUAUAAACAACAUACGCUGAUCGAUCUUAAAUUCUUAAUAGACAAAAGUUAAAUUUAAGACAAAAGUUAAACUAUAUCCAAGUAACUGAUACAGAAGAAGAGAGGGGGUAUAAAAAAUAUUAAAAAAUUCAUUUGCUGAGAAUCGAACUUGGGUUCGAAGUUUAGAGCAAACUGAACUGCACAUCCACUGAUCCACCUUUUAGACGAUUCCCUUUAGCCAUUGUUAAAAGACGAUACUAACCUUCAUCUGAGAAGACUCGCCGUCAUCGGGUCUUGUGAGCCAGACUCUUGUAGCGGCGGCAUCCGACCACCCAGACUAGGCCAGACAUCAGCCGAGAUACGGGAUACGGCCGUAUAGGCGUCAUAUACUGCCGGAUACGUUCGGAUAUGCCAGGAUACGAGUACGGGUACCGAAGGGUAAAAAAGACAUUUACUAUAUAGGUUUGAAACAAAAGCAAACACAACGACGUCGUCUUCACAAUCCCCAAAUUCGAAUUGGGCGAACUCUGCAACCAGCGAAAUCAAAACCCCCACACUCUGGCGAAACCUAGAGUCACGAUCGAAGCCUCAACCCACAUCACAGAACCGCCGUAAUUCGCAGAAACCAAUCUCUCAAGGUAAAAUUGUCAAACCUCACACUCUUUCUCGAUACAAUAUUAGCAAAACCCUAACAUUAUCAAUUUGGGGGUUUCGUCGUUGACUUCAAAUUUGCUCUGUUUCUCUCAAAUUUCUGAUCCAAGAUCACAACUUUAACCCCAGAUGUCUAACGCCAAGAGAACCCAGCUCGAUUCCGACGCUGACCACGGCGACGAUGACGUCAUCAAGUUCCAGAAACUAGGGACUGUGGAUUCGUCCCCGUCAGCCGCCGGAGAGCAACCCCUGCCGGAGUAUUUUUCUUUCUCUCCGCGGCGGCCGAGAGUGGUCCUCACGCCGGAUCAGCACAAGUGGUGCUCCCAGGCUCUCAAGGUGUUCAAAGACAAGCUAGACAAGCCUGGCCUGAUCAGCCGGGAGUUUGAUGAGCUGUAUGAGCGAGCUGUGGUUGAGAAGAGCUGCAAUGUGGGUCUCAGCAGUGCCAACUGGAGGAAGAAUCGGUACGACGAGAUCUUGCCGUUUGAUGAAAGCAGGGUUGUUCUGAAGGGGAGGUCUAACAGUAGUGGAGGUGACUACAUCAAUGCCAGCUUUGUGACGACUAGCGCGUCUCGUUUCAUUGCUACGCAAGGUCCACUUCCGAAUACUUACGAGGAUUUCUGGGAGAUGGUGAUGCAGUACCGGUGCCCUGUUAUCGUUAUGCUUACUAGAUUGGAUAGCGGUAAGUGUGGAGACUAUUUUCGAGCAGAGGAUGAAAGAGAUUUUGGAAAUGUGUGUAUUGUCACUAAGUGGAUUGGAAGUAGUGAGUCUGGUGGGAGUAGUUCUUCGUUAGUGUUGAGGCUUUUGGAGGUGAGGCGUAAGGCGGGGUCAGAGGAGCCGCCUGUGUCUGUGUUGCAUAUUCACUAUCCUGAAUGGCCUGACCAUGGAGUUCCCGCGGACACGCAUGAUGUUCGUGAUAUUUUGAAAGGAUUGAUAUAUCAAGUGGAGCCACCGGAGCUUGGCCCGAUUGUGGUGCAUUGUAGUGCAGGUAUUGGGAGGACCGGAACAUACUGCACGAUUCAUGAUACAAUGAAGAGAAUUCUAUCUGGGGACAUGUCUGCUUUGGAUCUUGUUGGUACAAUAGCCACAUUCAGGUCUCAGCGAGAUGGAAUGGUCGAGACUCUGAAGCAAUAUCAGUUCUGUUAUUCUGCCAUUGUUGAUGAAUUGGAGGACCUCAUCUCGAAUCAUGGAGAUAGCAAUUGAAUAAUGGAGUUCAGAUCAAAAGAGGCAGCUGCAUCAAUUACAUUGCUCAUUGUGAUCAUUUCUUUCCUGGUGAAUAUUUUUCUUACAUGCUUUUAGCCAUUGUUAGUUUCUUAUUGAAUGAAGUAAUCUUUUGCCAACCAGUUCCUUCGAAAUGUCAUUACAUUAUGUAAUCGGUUAAUGCUGCCAUGUUAUAUAGCUGUAAAUGCAGCACAGAAAUGAAAGAUUCUUAUUCCAUGUUCUUAUAGCAUUGCUUGGAUCCUUGGACUAUUCUUAGGUCAGGAACUAGAUAAUCACAUAGGUUGGUGCUGUUCUCUGUUCUGUACAUGUUAUGACCAAAGAAUUUCUAUAUUUUAUAUGAACAUGCUAGAAAGAAGGAACAUACAGAAUUUUAACCCUGUAAUACAAAUACGGACAGAAUCAGUCUCACUUCCUUUUGCUUAAAUCAAUCUGCCAAUAAACUCGCCAGGGAUUUCCAGAAAAACCAAACCUAGGUGGUUUUUGGUUGAACCAAGUUGUCCCAACAUUUCAAGUAAAUCAGGCUCUUGUUAUAUCUGAUGAUAGUCCAGUUAAUGAUCAUUGUUAUUGAACACUUCACGCGUUUCACAGAAUCAAUACUACUACUAGUACCAUGUCUUAGAUCCAAGAAGAUUGCAACAGGUUCAUUUUCACUGCUGUUAUUAUUGCGGAUUCGAUCUUUGAAAACUUCGGUUUGGAUUUGGUAGAGUUGGUGUACUUCAUUUUGACUUGCAAAGUAAUUGCAUUGAAUAAGCAUACAGGAAUUUUAGGAUGUAAAAUUGAUGGUAGACAACUUCAAACAUACAUGUAACUUAGCAAGCUACAACCACCAAAAGCUGAUGUAUCGAUCCAUAUGUCAUAGAGUUUUCUGGUUUUCCCUUAUGUUAGUUUGGUACAGCUGUACAAUACAAUUCAUGUAACAGGUCACGAUUAUAUAAUAUUUGAGUUUAAACCUGAUGGAGAUUAAUGCGUGUUUGGAACAAACUACUAUAGGCUUUAUUAAAAAGAAAAACCUUGAACAAUAAGAACUAAGAAAAAUACAUAUUUCUGUUUACAAACCGGAAGGAAAAACUGUGUAAUCAUCCCCAAGCAAGAAACUGUGUUAUGAAAUAAUAAGCAGUACACCUGAUUAAUCAAGUGGAAUGCACACUCCGACUUAAUUUAAGUAUUCAUUCUUCAUGUCUUUGUUACUCCUGAUCUGGGGAUGGAGCAAUUGCUGGUGCUGAGGAAGGAGCAUUGCCCUGAUCGACACGCGUGAAACCGAAUUUCUUGAUGAGCUCAGUGGCAAUAAGCUGGUUAGCGCUAUCUGACGGGUGGUACUCAUCCCAGAAUACAUAUUUACUUCUGUCUUUGCAUAGUACUGAUGCAGGCACACAUGUAAGAGCCGGUCUUAUUCUUCCGAAUGAGCAGCAUGGUGAGUCUGAAUUACUGAAUCCUACAAAGGUUGAAGUUAAAUCCAAAAAAGAAAGUUAAAGAUAGAAAAUUUCAUUAUCAGAAUAAGAACAUAGUGAUGACAAGCACAUAAAAAUACCAUAUUUGCUUGGAUUGCUGAUCACAUUAUUGACAACAUCAUAAGCAUCACCAAAUCUGUAGCUGGCGUUAGGAAGUUUGGCGUUCAAAUCGUCCAUUAAUUUGCUUCCAGCUUUGUUGAAGCUGAGAGCUAAUUUGUUUGUUCUAUCUACACAAUCCCCAGAUGUACUUAGGACCCUCUGUAGUGGGAUACAACCCAUUGGUCCUAAACCAAACACCAUCAGCUGCCUUGCCCCUAAAGCAUGCAACAGCUACUCAAAAGAACACAAACAUACACACACAAGUUAGAAGAACAUAAUAAUAUCAUCAACAAGCAGAGAAGAACUAGCUCUAGCUUGAUCAGUAGAAAUGUAGAAUCAACCUGAAGUUGUGCCUUCAGUGUUUCCAUCAAGUAGUCGAUGAAGCUUUGAUCGUUGUAGUUCCAAGAAUCGCUAUAGACUGGCAUCAAAUAAUUGUUGAUGAAGUCAUUGCUGCCUAAAGCGACAACGUAACGAGCUCCUUGGAAAUACUUGUCUGCUGCCUCUUUGCCAAUUUUGCUCUUUAUCAAUGUUUGUGUCCCUAUAAACAGCUCGAUCUGCUUGGAGAGUGAAAACCUUUGAAUCUGCAAAUGGUUAAUUUGACCAAGAGCUUAGGAGGGUACAUGUAUAUAUAGUUAUAUAUCUGUUUAUUUAGGAUUGCAAUCAACUUACAAAUAAGCCACCAGUUUCAUUCAAGAUUCCACCACCUCCAGAAGCAUAGUUCACUCCAUUUUGGAGUAUCAUAUCUUCGGUUAAAGAUGGGUCUAGAAAUGCAGGUGGCCUCGGGAGACCCAUGUUAUCACCUUAAUGAAAGAAACAAACAAGUAUAAUCAGCAUCAAAAUUCAAAAACCAACAUAAACAUAACCAACUUUUUAAAUCAUAGCCCCCAAGCAGUGCUCGAGGCUCAAACUCUCUCGAGCACUACUUUGCAGGGUCAGACAAAGGUGUUACCUAUAAUAUCAGCAACUGUUCGACCAUUAGAGAAUCUCCCAUUAGGCAAACCAUUGCCAAAAUCAAUACCAUACCAGGGGAGGCUUGCUUGGGCGAGGCUCUUGCUCAAGUACUUGUUGUUUCCAACAUCAGAGAGAGAAUCGCCAAAUAUGAACUGCACCACUUUGCAGCUGUAACCAUCGAUCAGGAUGGCAAAGAUGGUCACAACCAACACUGCUACUCCCACAUUGAGCUUCAUGGUUUGAUAAUAAUCAAGCAGAUAUGUUGUAUAGGUCUUAUUUCCCAAGUAGAGGGAAGAUGAAUUUUUCUUGGAUUUGAAUACAUGUGCAGGCUGGGGAUAUAUACGAGUGAGGGAAUGUUUUCAGAUUUCAGAGAAACAGAGAGGGUAGUUUAGCUUGUUGGAUAUACCAACUCAACUACCUUGAUUUUGGUUACAAGUUAUAUACAAAGUUACAACGUUAUCAGUCUGAAAAUGCCAUAUGUUAAUCAUAUAUAGUAAUGUGAAAUGUAAAGGCAUGCUUGUGGGUUCACCUACUCAUCUAGAUUUCUUGAACCGGAAUAUCAAGUAAUUGGGAAUCUCUAGCUCUUUCAACAUGUUGGGCAAACCAUAUAUGUGCCUAUGGAGAAUGCACUCUCUAAGUGAUGAAGUUAAGUGAUCUGCAUUUCUAUCAAGUAAUGUUGUUGAGAUUCAAUAUGUAUCUAGGAAUGCUAAUAUGGUAGUUGAUUCUAUUUCAAAGUUUGUAGCCCGAUUGCAGGGGCUUUAUUCAUGGUUAGGGGUUUGACCCGAUUGGCUCAUGGAUGUCAUUGUUAAUGACGGACCCGUGACUUGUUCGAGUAGGAGGGAUGAGAGUGGAGAAGUUGCUUUCACCACCGAUAAUUCCCAAGCGUUGUAAUUCUAUUUUCUUGUUUUGAAUAAAAUUCUGAUGUUUCCUCCUAAAAUAAAGAGUUCAACGCCCCCAAGGCCCCAACAUUUCCUUCUUUUCAUAUCGUUCAAUUGUCUUUUAAACAAUUCUCGAACCAAAAAGAAUUUGCUUCUAAAAAUUUGUGUUCCCUUUUUCUAGAAUAGGAAGAGAUGUACCCAUUUUUUACCAAUUUGAUUGUGCGACUUUUCUUCGUUUGAUCUUCUAUUGUUAUUAAUUAAAUCAUACGCUGUUAGCAUCUUACAAAUCAUGUCAACCUACAAUUUGCUUGAACAAGCAAUGAUUUCCCUGAUAUUAUUCAUUCCAACUCAUUAGUACAACCACCUAACUAAACUAGAGUCGCACUUUGGUUAAUAAACUUCGUUCAUCAAUUAUUAGGAAAACUUUGCAAUACCAUUUACGACGGUUGUACACAGAGACAAACUAAGUUUAACUUUUCUUCAAAGAUAGAAACUAGAAAGUAUAGUUGUUCUAUGACUUUAACAUUAUCAAUUCAGUAUGAGCUCAAAUCGAACCCUAAUCAGUAUAUUAGGUAUGAUCAUAUAUGUUGUUGAGGAGGGUCUAACUUGUAAUAUAUAGAGAAACUUGUUUCUACCGUUGUACUGUUAAACAACGACAAACGUCGUCUGUAGAUCAUCCUUGUAUCGAUAUUGUCCUAACUUAAUUACAUUUUAUCUUUAAGGUGUUGAGUUUUAAUUACAAAAUAAUUCAAUACAAUUAGGUAUAAUCUCACAUAUAAAUUAUAUUUUAUUUAUUAUUUUUUGAUACGAAAUUUCUCAUCUUCCACGUGUACUGAAAAAUUUAUCUAGGAAGGUGGCUGUCAUAAUUUCAAUCUUGUCCGAAAUCGAAGUCCCUUCAAAUUUUAGGCUUAAAACUUACCGUUCUACAAAGCUCCCAGUAACUAGACAAAAACUUGAUGACGUGGCAGAUUCUCAGUGGUUGCAUGUAUGAUACUGCCGACCCCAUCAACGUGGCAGCAACUCGUCCCCAAGAAACUCCAAAACAGUAAAAUCAUAAAACUCCAAACAAAAACCAAACCCGAAAAUCUAUCCAGAUAUCCCCAUAAGAUCCCAGCCCUCCAUUCCCCCUAAUCCAACGGCCACCUCCCCCUCUCAUAUCCCAAACCAUAUCUCCCUAAAAGAUAAACCUUCACACUCCCUAGCUCCACCACUCACUCCACUCUCUCCACCACCCAAAAUGGCCUCCAUCGCUCUCAAAUCCUUCGUCGGCCUCCGCCGCCACUCCGCCGUCGAAAGCCCCAACUUCACCUCCCAGUCCAAACCCAUCUCCUCGUUCCCAUCAACUCCCCGAACUUUCCGCGUCCUCGCCGCCAAAACCAGCCCGAAAGUCGCGGGCCGGAACCUCCGGGUCGCCGUCAUAGGCGGUGGCCCCGCCGGCGGAGCCGCCGCCGAGACGCUGGCCAAAGGCGGCGUCGAGACGUUUCUCAUCGAGCGGAAAAUGGACAACUGCAAGCCCUGCGGCGGAGCCAUCCCGCUUUGCAUGGUGGGGGAGUUUGACCUGCCGUUGGAUAUCAUUGACCGCCGCGUCACCAAGAUGAAGAUGAUAUCGCCGUCCAACGUGGCGGUGGAUAUCGGGCAGACGCUGAAGCCGCACGAGUAUAUUGGGAUGGUGCGGCGCGAAGUGCUGGAUAAUUACUUGAGGAAUAGGGCGAGUGAGAAUGGGGCCAAUGUGAUUAACGGGCUGUUUUUGAAGAUGGAUAGUCCGGUAAAGGGAGAUGGGACGUCGCCGUAUGUGUUGCAUUACACCGAGUAUGACGGCAAGGCCGGCGGGGUUGGUGUCAAGAAGACUUUGGAGGUUGAUGCUGUGAUUGGAGCCGAUGGGGCUAAUUCUAGAGUGGCCAAGUCUAUUGAUGCUGGUGAUUAUGAGUACGCCAUUGCGUUUCAGGUAAUUUGAGACUUUCACAUUCUUUUGAUUUGAAAUUGGGUCUUGCAUGUUGGGAAUUGCUGUGUAAUGAGCUAGAAUGCGUUUAUAUAUUGGACUAGUUUGCAGUGAGUUAGCUGAUUUUGUGUCGAAAUUAGUUAAAAUCUUAGUGCUUGAUAGAGAAGCCUGUUGCUUAGGGGUAAGGCGCUCAUUGUUGUUAAGUUGUUGGUUUUUGUGUGUUUCAGGAGAGGAUCAAGAUCCCUGAUGACAAAAUGGUGUACUACGAGAACUUGGCAGAGAUGUAUGUAGGUGAUGAUGUGUCACCGGACUUUUACGGGUGGGUGUUCCCAAAGUGUGAUCAUGUGGCAGUGGGAACAGGCACUGUGACUCACAAAGGAGACAUCAAGAAGUUCCAGCUAGCAACAAGAAACCGUGCCAAGGACAAGAUUUUAGGCGGAAAGAUUCUACGAGUGGAGGCACAUCCGAUCCCUGAGCACCCCCGCCCACGAAGGCUAGCGGGGAGAGUGGCGCUAGUCGGUGAUGCAGCCGGGUAUGUGACUAAAUGCUCGGGUGAAGGUAUCUACUUUGCAGCAAAGAGUGGAAGGAUGUGCGCAGAAGCGAUAGUUGAGGGAUCAGAGAAUGGGAAGAGGAUGAUAAACGAAGGAGAUUUGAGGAACUAUUUGGAGAAGUGGGACAAGACUUACUGGCCGACUUACAAGGUGCUCGAUAUCUUACAGAAGGUGUUUUACAGGUCGAACCCGGCGAGAGAAGCGUUUGUGGAGAUGUGUGCAGAUGAGUAUGUGCAGAAGAUGACCUUCGAUAGUUAUUUGUACAAAAGGGUGGUGCCUGGGAACCCAUGGGAGGAUUUGAAGUUGGCUGUGAACACCAUUGGGAGCUUGGUUAGGGCUAAUGCACUUAAGCAAGAGAUGGAAAAAAUUGGUGCUUAGAAAGCAGGCAUUGAAAUUUGUCUAAAUUUUUUCCGGUCUUAUGUAAUAAGUACAAUCUCAUUGGAACCAAGAUUGAGUGUAAUUUUAUAUUGUAUUACAGAGACUCAGAGAAUUUGUAGUUAUAAUGUAUGUGGUAAUGAAUUGUUUUGGUAUGCGAGUAAGAGGGUGUAUUUGUAGUUUGCCAUGGUUUGCGUUGAGUUUUAACGACUAUUAGCAUCUUUCUCACUUCUACUCGUGUGGUUAAGUUGAGACAAUAUUGGUACAAAGAUGAUCCACGAGUCACGUUUGUUGUUGUUUGAUAAGGUUCACUCAAUAGGUAGCUUAGUAUUAGUAUUGCGUUUGGCAAUUUAUGUCUGAUAACGUGGUUUAUCCAUGACAUUGUAUUUCUUUGACUUCUAUGACAUUAUAUUUCUUUGACUUCUUGUAUAAGUGAAAACAUACAGAGUCAUAGAGGUAUAUUGAGCAAAUGUCCAACUUUUGUAUGCAAUGAAAUUGUCAAAGAGACAGAGAGACGAAGAAGAGAGAGUGCGGAGAAAAAAGAAAAGGGGGCAGCGGCGCAUCAUCUCAAACCCUUAUAUAUACCGGCAUCAACGACAACACUGUCGAAACAAAGAAAAGAGUGACAACAACAUCAUUUCACGCAAUCAAUUUAAACAGUGUCGUAAACUAUAAACCCUAAACUCACAAAUAACAUAGUGGAUUUAUAGUUUGAGGAUUUACGUACAACAUUGCGCCAUCAUACAAACAUGACCCUGUGACGAAAAAAUGAUGUUGUGUGCUUUCAUUUUCUUCUACCUAAAAAAUCUAAAAAAUUGACAUAGAAUGGAAAAGUGAUUGCCUAGACAAAUCGAGGCCGUCAAUAGCAAAUAUCAGAGAAGCAAAAGGAACAAAUAGAGAAGAUUCGAUUGCAUAUUGGCAAAUUGAAAUAAAGAAAGAAAAAGCCGUGUGGUAGGAGUUGGAAAAACUGGGGGUGGAUUCGUCCGAGGCCCAUCGACGGAGUUUCUCACAUCUUUCAUUUAACAAAACCCGACAACACUACAAAACCCACGCACGCUUUAUAGUCCUCUUCCUCAAUUUCGCCUUCCUCACUCUGUCUCUCUGAACUCUUCUCUGUCUCUCUAUCUGGUUGUUGUGGCCGUUCAACAACUCCAAAGGUUAGCUUCCUCCUCUACUUUCACGAUUCGAUGUCGUUUCAUUUUGCUCUAAGAGAUCUGUGGGCUCUGGUUUCAGAUCCGGUGGGCUCCAAGCUCUAAUCUUUUUCUUCGUUUCUUGCUUUCUGAAACUGAUAACUGAUUCAAAUUGUGAUAUUUGAUUUAGGGUAUUUUGUCUGAGCUCAAUUAAGAUGCAAAUAUCUGUGCUUUUUGUGUACGUGAUAUUGGGUUUGGGGUAAUUUUGUUAAAAAUAUGUGCUUUUUUUGUGCGUGUUAAAGAUGGCAGCAAAGUUUAGAUUUUUCUUGUGUAAUACAGGGUGUGAGAGAUGGCAGCAACAGCAGCAGCUACCUUUUCCGUCGGAACUGCCUUUUCCGUUGGCCGGAAAGGAGUAUCAACCGCACAGUCGAAGCCUUGUGCUUUGAGGUUCACCACCCAAAACCCUCUCAAGAGUUUCAGUGGCCUUAAGGCGGCGAGUGGAUCGUUUGCAUGUGAAUCUGAGUCGUCAUUCUUUGGCAAGGAGACCACUGCAGCUAUUCGAGCUUCUUAUGCUUUGAAAGCGCACAAGGAAGCCGUGGUGGUUCAGCAGCCGCAGGCAUCUUAUAAAGUAGCUGUUCUUGGAGCUGCUGGGGGGAUUGGCCAGCCCUUGGCGCUUCUCAUCAAGAUGUCUCCUUUGGUGUCUUCCCUGCAUUUGUAUGAUAUUGCCAAUGUCAAGGGUGUUGCGGCUGAUCUCAGUCACUGCAACACUCCCUCGCAGGUUCUUGAUUUCACGGGAGCUGAUGAGUUGGCUGAGUGUUUGAAAGGUGUGGACGUGGUUGUCAUUCCUGCUGGAGUUCCAAGGAAGCCUGGCAUGACCCGUGAUGAUCUCUUUAACAUCAAUGCCGGCAUUGUGAAGAACUUGAUUGAGGCUGUUGCUGAUAACUGCCCUGAUGCUUUCAUUCACAUCAUCAGUAACCCGGUCAACUCUACCGUGCCUAUUGCUGCUGAGGUUAUGAAGCAGAAGGGUGUUUAUAACCCAAAGAAGCUCUUUGGUGUUUCUACUUUGGAUGUGGUGAGGGCAAACACAUUUGUUGCUCAGAAGAAGAAUCUGAAAUUGAUUGAUGUGGAUGUACCAGUUGUUGGUGGACAUGCUGGGAUAACUAUAUUGCCCUUGCUGUCGAAGACAAAACCCUCAGUCAGCCUCUCUGAUGAAGAAGUUGCAGAGCUGACUGUUAGGAUUCAGAAUGCUGGAACCGAAGUUGUGGAGGCAAAGGCAGGUGCUGGGUCUGCAACAUUGUCAAUGGCAUAUGCUGCAGCCAGAUUUGUUGAGUCGUCUCUCCGUGCACUGGAUGGAGACAGUGAUGUCUAUGAGUGCUCUUAUGUGGAUUCAAAUUUGACUGAGCUUCCAUUCUUUGCUUCAAGGAUUAAGAUUGGAAAGGAAGGAGUUGAAGCUUUGAUACCAUCUGACCUCCAGGGUCUGACAGAGUACGAACAAAAGGCUCUGGAAGCACUUAAGCCAGAACUGAAAGCCAGCAUUGAGAAGGGUAUUGCAUUUGCCAACAAGCAACCAGUGGCUGCAUAGAUGCUAGCAUCCGAAUCUCCUCAUUCUAAUGACUGCUUUACAGAGGGAUAGAAAGAAUCUGGUUAUAUUUUUCUUCGGAUUUUGCUUUGCAUCAGUACUUUCAAUUUUGUGGAAUGAAGUUUAUGUCAUUCCAUUUUUCUAUGUCGAAGCACUUUGGGGAGGACAUAUAGAGUUGCUUCUGUUGUUGUAGAUGAAGGUUAGACAGUUUUGAAAUAACUUGGCUCCUCUAUUGGUUGUGUUUAGGGAUAUCAUGUAUUUCUCCUCCUGCUGUAUGUUUGCAAGAGUUGAGCUAGUCUGUGAUGCAACAAAUAAAGUUUUACCUACUUUCAUGAUAGUAUACAGUUUACCUUAUGAGCAUCUAUGAUGAAUUCAGACUUUGAAUUAUAAGCAAUUUAGCAUCGGGCAAUAGCUUCAAAAACGACUGUACUGUAUCAAUUUGACCCAAAAAAUGGCUACAAAAAGGUACAAUCGAUCGGCAAUUUUAGCAGUGUUCAGUUUUGAAUUUUAGCAAUAGCUUCCACAUUAUCUUCCAAUUAAUCUUAAAUUUUGAAUCUCUAUCUUUCACUGUAGCUUUUCACUACCAUCUAUGCUACUCUACAGUGUCACUUGUCUGAAUUUCUACAGUGAUGCUCACAUGCCGUAGUUCUUGAAUGUUCCUACCAAUAGCCAUUGCAUGAGCAACGUCCCUCCCGAAAAUGAUGAAACCGACUGCGGUCUCUAACAAUUAUCGUCCUGUUAUAAACCCCUGAGAGAAUCAUUGCAAAGUUGUGGCAAUCAACACAAGUGCGAAGAUUCUUGGCCACUCUAAUUGUCAUGCCAGGUGGAGUUGCCAGCACUCCAAAAGCAAUAGCUAGUUUCUCGCUGUGAUAGGAGAGUGCAUAUCCCUUCUCUGCUGCCCCCAAAUUGUGAAGUUCAGAUGAUACAUCAGCAACAUAACCAGCAAUCUUCAGCUGACUAUUGAUCUCAUCUAGCAUUCGGUAGAUUUCGUCCUUCCUUGGAUGUGAAACAUCAUCCACCAAAAACUCGUGGACUGUUCCAUCCAGUAUGAUUGUGCUGCAGCCUGGUGUAGUUUGAAUUGCAUUUUCCUUCAUAAACUUCCUCAAUUCAGUUAACUUCUCCCAGUUUUUAGCUGUAGAGUAAAUAUUCAUCAACAGAACAUAGUCCCCUGCCUCUUGAGCCUUGAGUUCGAUCAAAUGAUCCACCACACGUUCCCCAAGGGUUUCAUAGUUAUGAAUCCUGCAAGCCCCAAGUAAGGUCCUCCAUAUUUUCGAAUCUGGAUUAAUAUCCAUCGACAUUAUAAGCUGAUAAGCUUGAUCAAGUCGACCAGCACGACCCAAUAGAUCAACUAUACACCCAUAGUGAUGGAUAUUAGGCACUACUCCAAACUCUUUACUCAUGCGCUCAAAAAUAUCCAUUGCUUCAACAACCAACCCACAAUGACUGCAAGCAGAAAGCACACCAGUAAAAGUCUGUUCAUCAGGUAAAACACCCAUUCUCUGCAUCUCACAAAACGCUUCAACCGCGUCUCUACCAUACCCAUUCACUGCAAGCCCGGAAAUCAUUGCACUCCAUGAAACCACAUUUCUACCCCGCAUUCCCUUAAACACCUCAUAAGCCUUAUCCAAACACCCACACCGCGAAUACAUAGUAAUAAGAGCAUUACACAGAUUAGAAGCGCCACCAUAACCAUGUUCCUCAAUGUACCUAUGAACCCUUUCGCCAAACUCCAAGGCGUUCAUGUUUGCACAAGCUUGCAGCGUAAGUAAACAAGUAACAUCAUCAGGCUCACAUCCGUAGCUUCCGCUCCGCAUAACGUCAAACACACCCAGAGCGUCCCUGCUGUGGCUGUUAUGCAGAAAGCAAGAAAUCAACACAUUCCAAGCAACAGUGUCCCUCUGCGGAAUUUCAUCGAACACCUUACAUGCAUCAUGAUACUCCCCACAAGUCGAGUACAGGUUCAUCAGAGCUGUGAGUAAGCGACUAUCUGAAUGAUGCCCAUCUCUAACAAUCCUAGUUUGCACCUGAAUUCCUACUGAUAAGCAUUGCAUUUUAACACAGCACUGGAUUACGAAGAAGGACGACAGCGAGUUGCAAUGAAGCCCUCGCCGUCUGAAGUCUCGGUAGAGAUGAAUACCCUGUUCGGGUGAAUCGCUCGUGGAGUAAGCUCUUAUGAGAGUGUUGUAGUGAAUGGCAUUGGGUUUGGGGAUUUGGGCUAAGAAAUGGCGGGAGUAGGUUAAGUUUUUGAGUGGCGGGGAAAGCGAAAGGAGGGAGAGGAAGUGGAAGCAGAUAGAGGAGUCGAGAAUGAGAGAGGUUUGGAGAAUGUGGGCGUGGAUUUGGAGUAAAUGGGAUUUGUGGGUGCAUGAUUUGAUGAGGGAGAGGAGGGAGUCUUUUCGGGUUUGAGCGUAGGAGAUGAUGAUGGGUUUGGUCUGGUUUUGAUGGUCAUGGGGGGUUUGGAUUUGGGAAUGGUCGAGGGAGGUUUGGUUAGUGGUGAAGAGUGAGGGGAAGGUGGAGGUGAGACGAGUAGAGGAGAUGUUGUGAUGUUGGAGAUGGGCACAGUUUGAACGCAGGGACUGUGAGAUCGCAGUCAUUUUCAGCUCUUUGCUUUCUCACAUCUCUAUUUAUAUGUUCUUGCCAUUUUUUUCUUAAAGAGCAAGAAUUUUGGGAAAUUUUGAGUUUUGAUAUGGGUGUACCAUUACACCAUUUUGUUUAUUUUCAAGUAUUUGGAUUGAGAUACUAAAUUGGUAUGAUGGUAUUUUUCUUUGGAAAAUUCUAGUUCAAGCGGUAAUUUUUACUACCAUCACCUCGUGUAAAGCACGUGCAAUGUAGACAUGUUAGUGUAUGUAUGAACAUGUCUAUGUAUGUCAUACAUGCGGACAUAACAAACAAACCCAUUUUCUUUUUAUAUUUGUAGAUGAAAAUUUGAGUUUAAAUUCUCUGUCGCGCAAGAUAAAUAAAAUGUAUGAUCGUAUUGAGAUUUAUGUUUCAUUUCAAUUAAAUUUAGGUUCGUACAAGUAACAUGUUCUAAUUAAGAGAAAUACAAACAAUUCACUCGGUUGUUCUUGUUUCUGUUCUCGCCUCUUCAUCCAUGCAUUAUAAAUUCAUGAAAUUAUAUUUUCCUUUUCCAUAUUAGGAGUAUGUAUGAAUUAUUCUAUGAACGAUAUUUGAUAGAUAUGCAUCUAAAACAGAAAAAGAAAAAAACUAAAACUAAAUCAACCGUUUAAUUGACCAACCAUUUUCUGUAACAGGGUGCUCUGAAGAUGAAGUAGUCUUUCAGAGCCCAGUGUUCAUAUCAAGCUAUGAACUAAUUUAACCAUGUGUGCAAACCCACAAAAUCAACCUAAAAAAUCAGAAAAACUAAACAACUGAUCUGGCUGUUAUGAUAUUCCCGUUUAUUAUAUCAUCAUGCUAGCGGAAGAUGAAAAGGAAUCAGACAAAAGCGACUUAAUCUCUUCGUCUUCCUCGUCUCCUCGAUUGUCAAUAAUAGCCAUGGACUUCCCUCCACGAUUAUCAACAAUGCUGAAAUUAGAAGAAUGGGGUGGAUAAUCAAUCAGAUUCAUCCCCAUGAUCUUUCUCUUCUUGUAGUUGGCCUUAAAACAAGCCUGUCUCAACCGCUUGGUAUGGUCCUCCAGUUGCAUAUCCGGAGCUUCCUCCAUCAGCUUCUUCUCCCUCUCCAAUAACUCGAUCGCAUUCCGAAGCUUCUCUUCAUUAUUGUCAUCUUCUUCCUUUCCCAACUCCUUAAUAACAAUCAAGGAACGUUAUAUUUUCCGAUGGUGAUGAAGAAACUGAAUUGAAAUAUGUCGUACUUAAUGUUACUUUUAGCUAGGUACCUGAAUGUUCACCUGAAUGUUCCGGAUUAGGGUCUGGAGGCUGGUGAGUUUCCGAUGAGGCCAACGGCGAACACCCAACUCCCGGCACCUUUUCUUCAAAAGAGUCAAGCCGACGUUUAGUUCUUUCGCUGCUUGAGUUAUAGGCAUGUAAAAGUACUGGGAGAUUGUUUCCCUAGACAACAAUUUUGAUGAUGAAUAGCUUCGAGUACUGCUACCACUUUUCACUUCGUCUCUCAUGCAUCGCUUCUUAUGCUUCCUCUCUUCACCGACAUGUUCUCUAUCUCCGCCAUUUUGAUCUUCAUUGCUCGUAAGCAGUAAAAUAGGCUGCUGCUUUUCUUGUUGCUGUUGUUCUUGUUGAUCAUGAUCAUGAUUAGGGUGCUCAAACCCAGAAGCGAACACCUCAUUGUGAACUACAUUCUCAGUCUCAUUUGCAUUGUCUCCAAACAAAACAUCAUCUCCUACACGUUCAGAAUCUAAAUUAUUACAUAAAAAUUUAUAUAAUGAGAAGUUUACCCUGAAAGUUUAGGGCAUAUGUAAAUGACUGUUCAUCACCUUGAAAUAGGCUUCGGAUAGGUUGUAUGUCAAGAGACGAGUAAAGAGGGUCGUGAUCAUGGAGAUUCAGACAGGUCUCCAUGAAAGGAAGAGCGUCAACAAAACUAUAGUCUUGCACCAUCGGCGGAACUUCAUUUUCCCAGUCCAGUACUGGAGCAUAACCACUUCACCACCAAUCAAGAAUCAUAAGGUUAAAUGUUUAAGUACCAAUGAAAUCAAAGGACUGCAGUUAGAUCAAACAAUAAACACGAUACCUGAAAUCAGCAGGAGAAAAUUGAUUUGCAAAUGAGAAUGGGUUUUCAUUGGAAACCCCCACCCAAUUAGGGUUACUCAUGAGGGAAUGACUCUGAUGGUGACUCUUCACUGUCAUUGCACCCAAAUCGAGAAAGAGAGGAAGAGAUUAAUGGCCGGCGGUGAAUAUAAAUGUGCAAAACUCUGAUCGACGAUGACUUAAGGAAGAAGAAGAAGAAGAGGCAAAUAGUGAGUGUAUAUAUAGGCUCAUGCAUUUACAUGUAUGCAUGAAUCAGCACAACUACUAGUGUUGUAAUUAAUCAUUGUGUUACUGCUGUGGUUUGUGCGCGUUUUAAUGCUUAGUGAGAGUUACAAGAAUGUAGUAUUAAUUACUUGCUAAACACCUCUAAUACAAUUUAUUAGAUUUAGAGGGCUUAAUCAUCUUCAUCAUUAGCCUACAUAAACGUGCGCCGCCACAGCUCCUCCUCAAUCUGUUUUUUUCAUUAAUAUUAAUUAUUCCUUCUUUCUAUUUAUCUUUCUCGAUUUUGGCUAGAUAUGCUUAGUAUCUAUAUAUAGAGAUUCAUUCAACUUAUUUGGGUGGAUUUAGAGUGGAUUAGUGAGUUAAUUUGUUGGAGGAGUGUGCAUGCUUGCCAAGUCUGAUUUUCCUUCCAGUUCGGACACUUGGACUUACUGAUAGUCGAAUACGACCUUAUAUUAUUAUUUUUUGAUUGAAAUACCACCUUAUGUUUGGGAAUGACAUUUCAAAAAUAAAAAAAUAAAAAAACUUUCUAGAGGCGUAUAUGCAUGUAACGUACCAAUAAUCAUUUACACGUUAAGGGGACGUACUGAUUAAUCAUUUUGGAUGAAUUAGAAUUGAUGAAACUUACUAGUGAGUGGGGUGAGAGGGGAGAGUUACUGCUUUAUAAUUUCUCUGCGCACUAUUAUCCUUCAAUCAUUCAUCACUUUCUAUCAUCAGUUAGAAAUAUUGUGAUUAAUAUUGUAACCAAUAGUUAUAGCCAAUCCUUCUUCUAUAUCGUGUAUCUUAAUGCAUAUUAUGGGUAGUGGUGGCUGAUCCAGUAAUCGGCAUUAAAUCAUAAAAAAAUACAUGGAUUAUGAGAGAUGAACUGAUGAAUGUUUAAGAAGUUAUGAUUGAUAACACAAUCCACAAUCUUCAUUAAAGAUUAGAGAUUGUGGAAAAUCUGGAUUCUGGAAAUUCUGUUUUUCAAUCGCGAAAAACUAUCCAAUAUGCAGCUGAUGACAAAUACCCUCCCACCCCCAAAACAAAUUACCAAGCUUUUGCAAGAAUUAAUCGAAAGGUGGGAAGAUUGAAUUUUUAAUACAGUUGUUUUGUUUUCAACCCUUGGAUGUUAAUCUAAUAGUGUCUGACCAUGAAUUUCUUGAUCAGUGACUAACCAUGUGAAGACUACUCUUAAUUUUGAUCCAUCACUUUCCUUUUUAAACUAUGUGGGUUUUUUGAGCUUGAACUAAGCAGAGCGAAAAAUGAUCACCAAGCAACAGCAAAAUCCAUAAAUAAUCAAAAUAUGGAUAAUACAACCGUUUAUGCUUUUGAUAUGGUAGAAGGGAAAUAAGCUGGUCCAAAACUUUUCUUCUUCAAGCCUUUGGGAAACUCGAACUCCAGGCAGGGGAACAUGAUACUAUGAUUCAGUUUCUUCCCCUGCCCCUUCCACGGCCACGCCAACUUCCUCUACCCCCACCACCCUUGCCGCCGCCUAAGGCUUUGUUCGCAUCACCGUGUGCUUUCAUGUUCUCUGGCAAGGGAAGUAUAUGAUCCACACACUUUCUGAAACUAAAAUCAUCACUGGCUCCAUCUUCCCUAACAAGGAAGUAGCACCUACUUCUAUACAAUGGAUGGAACCGGACUUGGAAAGCCUGGAUCCCUCCACCAAUCUUUUUAUCAGGCUCAGAGUGACCCUUCUUGAGCAAGUCCAGCAAAACCAGAUAUUCAUACUGCACCACAAUACAACAAGACAUUCAAUCAAACAAUUCAAGAAUAUAAUAAAUUAAUAAUAUGUAAGAAAAGAAUUAACCAGACAUUUUGUCAACUAUAACACAUGAUAUUCUAAUAUACAUUUCAUCAAAUUCAGAAGCUGUAGACUAUUUCCACCUAGCAUUUCAAAGAAAAUAUCAUACAUGUGAGCUAGAGGGUAUCAUCAUGAUGUAGAAGAAAGGUGAAAUAACAUGUAUGAUUCAUUACCCAUAUACAAGAUGUUGCUCCUAGUUUUGUGAUACCUUAGUGAAAACUGUAAGCUAUACUACAAUGAUUUCCCUCCAAAUCCUUACAUCCAGAGUAUAAUUCAAUACUUAACAACCCAAUGUACCCUAAAUCAAUGUCUGUGAAACACCAAAACUAGAGAUAUCAACUCCAACACGCAAGAAUGAACAACCAAAUUUCACCUUUAUAACUAGGGUAACAAGCACAAGCUAAUUACAGAAACCAUUCUAAUAUCUCAAUUAUAUACCAAAACAGAGGAAAAACACAAAGCCAGAACCAAAUUUCCCAAAAUCAGCUCAACCAAGUUAACCCCAUUCUUUGAUUUCCAUACUUUCGAAACUACACCCUAAAACAAUGUUAAUGAAACACUAGAAUCGCGCAUGUCAAUUACAACUUCCCCGUCUACAAUACAAAACUAUCCACAAUGUAUAUCAACACAUGCAUCCAAAUCCUAACUCGAAUAUCAACCGCUACACGAAUAAGCCCCAAAAUUCUCAACACCCUACAUCAGCAACACUCAAAUUUCACACCCAAACACAGUAAAUUCACACGCAUUAACAAAACAAGUUUCAAUCUUUCAUCAAAGUUCAAUACUUUAAGCAAAACCAAAACAGAGCUCAAAAAAAUCAAACAGCUCUAGCUAGUUUCUAUUACCUUAUUGAUAUUAAGAUCAGUGGGCCAAUAAUGCAGGAGCUUAUAGAAAUAGUCGAACAUCUCAACCGCCGAACCGAAACUCUUCGGACCCAAGCUGACCCGACCCGCCCCGUUCUCUCCUUCCCCUAACUUCUCCAACCUUUGCUCCUCAGCUGACUUCUCCUCCACCUUCGCCUUCUUCGCCGCGCCGUCGCCGCCGCUCUCCUCCGCCUCUUCUUCCUCCCGGGCCCGCUUAGCUGUGGCAUCGCCGUUCUGGGCCUCGUCGAUAUUUUGGGCAGGGGCGGUUUCAAGGUCCAUGUCCUCGGCCGCGGGGUUGGUAUCGGCGAUUUCAGCGACGGUGGUCUCUGCCAUGAUUAAUUGAGUUUGAUGAGAGUGUGAGUGUGAAGCUAAAACCCUAGGUUCUUUGUCCUCGUUAUAUAUAGACUUCAGUAGCGGGCUUUUUAUUUAGGGCCGAAUCUGUCUCACCCGAUAUUUCCAUAUUUUGUAAUUUUUUUGGUGUAUUUAAUUAUUAUUAUUAUUUUUUUUUCACCUUUUUGCUAGUUCUCACAUAAAUCUGAGUUAUAUAAUUAGCCCAUUUAGCCGGGUACAACACUUGGCAGUGUCACGUGGUGUUCCGGAUACAGCGAAUAAUUACUCCUCAAAAGAAAUUUUUUUUGUAAUCUUCUCUUUUGCCAAGUAAUUUCCAAUUUUGUUUGCCUCUUUUUUUUUUCUUUUUUAUGUUGUAUGAAAAAAGAUUGUUCUCCUAAUAUCAUUUAGUAAUUUCUACUAUGAACUUCAAAAAUAUAGAGAAUGAAAGGCUAGUUUGAAAUCUUUGACUCCUUUUAGUUAGUUGAAAACUGACUUGGAUGGUGUCUAUGAUCAUGUCUCUAAUUGUGGUGGUGUUGGUGUAAUAGUGAGGGGACUCUUCUGCUUCGCUAGUUGGAGGUGUGUUUUUACAGGUUGGGCAUAUCACAUAUGACAUCACUAAAUUGGUUGAGGUUACAGCACGUAAAAUAGCUUGUGAAUUGGCUGUUGUGACCAAUUAUUAUGGAGUCAGACCGCCUUGAAUUGGUUCAGGCUUCGAAGGUUCCUGAUGAUGAUAUACUAUACUUUGGGCAUAUUAAGUUAUAUCAAGCUCAGCCUUGUGGUUCUUUCUUCUUCAUUUUUCAUGUAUGUGUAUAGAGAUGCUUAUAUGGUGGCUCACAUAGUUGUAAAACUAGCUCUCAAUUAUGAUUUUUAUUGAUGAAAUUGUUCAUGAUUUUUUUUUUAUCUUCAAGUUCAAGAAAUAUUACUCUCCCAGAAUAAUAUUAAUAUUUAGUCUUUAUUUUUUUGUGUUACAAAACGAAACCGCUGAAAAAAUGAGAUACCAUUUCAGGUUAAGGGGUUGGGAGCACUUUAUAUAUGACCUUUUUUUUUAUACAUAGAUGUAUGACAAUUCCAUAAGUGAUGUGUUCCACAAGAUGGGGUUUGAACUAAAAAUCUCUUAUUAUCAUGAAAAUUUUUAUAGCGUUCGUACCGUUUGCGGUUUAAACAUUUUUUCACUUGACCAACCUUUUAAAAAUAGAAAAAUAAUUUAAAAUUUACAAUGAUUAAGAAUAUAGGAUUUCCAAUAUUAAAUUUUAUUAAUCUCUAUUAAUCUAAAAAAAUCCUCCGUUUUUCAAAGUUUAUAUUAAUAUCAAUAAUCAACUUAACAAAAAAGUCGAGAUUUUCUUUCUAGAAAAGGUCUAAAUUACUUACCAAUAAAAAGAAUAAAAAAUAAUGACUUUUCUCUUUUGGACAUAGCCCACCUACUCAAAGACAAGACUCCAUGACUGACGUCCGUUACUGUGACAAAACGCGCUAAAUUGAAAACACCAUCUGAACCGCCAAAUUCCACCCAGACGGUACGAAUUUCGCUACGUGUCACCAUCCGCUACAGAUGAUCACAGACGAUCUAUAUUCCAGCUUCGGAUAGGGGUUACCGAGCCUAGCGAGUCUUAUCCGAAGCUGGUGCGGUGUCCCUUCCAAAUUUAAUUACAUUUCUUUCGAGGUGAAGAAGAAGAAGAAGAAGACGACGACUUUUCCAGAAGAGAGAAAACAAAUUUCCAAGCUCAAAGUCUAGGUCUUUUCCAGGUACUUGUGCUUCUCUUUUUCUUCUGCUAAAUUCAUCUCUGAAAUUCUUGAAAAUGUCAUACUUGUUGAUGUAGAAAUUUUGCCAAGGCGUUUAUAUUUUGAUCGCGUUUUGUGAAUUUUUGGAUUACCGAUUGGUAAUUUUUUUUCUUCUUAAAUUUGUUUUGCAAUUUGUGAGAAAGAUUGAGAAUUUAUGGUUGUAGGUGCUAAUUAUUAUUAUUAUUAUUUAUUUUUUUUGGAAAUUGAGUUUUUGCUGAGUUUAAAUGGUUGAAUCUGUUGGGGUCAUGAAGAAACAGUGAUGCUAUAUUGAUUUAAUUGCUUGAAAUGCAGGAUUGAUUUCGUUGUUUUGAGUUUUGAUGUGUGAUGAAUCUGAAUUUUGUUUUCGAAAAAAAUCGGGAUUAAGCGUCAAUAACUCAAUAUUUUGCUGCAUUAGAAUCCAGGACUGGUUAAUUUAAUUUAUCCUGAUCAUACCUGAUGCAUAGGUAUAUUGUGAGCUUUGUGUUAAUUUGAGCCGGAAGGUUUCGGAAUUUAAUGGUUGUGGUGGUUCUGUCUUGUCGGUGCAGGAGUUUUUGUUUGAGAGAGAAUGAGUGAUCACCUGGUGUUGUGUGUUGACCACUUCACGAAACCUGACAGUUUGCAAGCACCGAAAGGGACUGAGACUCCAGGAUCUUCUCUGGAGGCCUCGUCGUCAUCAUCGUCCCAAUCGGCUGAGAUACCGAGUUGUGCAAUUGAUAUUAAGGGAGCAGGGGAGAAUGCUGUAUCUGAAGAAGAGGAGCCGCUGAUUCAGACUGUUGAAUGUCGCAUUUGCCAGGAAGAGGAUGGUGUUAGUAAUCUGGAGGUCCCCUGUGCUUGCAGUGGCAGCUUAAAAGUAUCAUCUGAUUCAUUGAUGCUCAUAUAGUUUUAUAUUUGCAGUUUUGCAACCUUUUUUAUUUUUCCUUUUUCUUUUUGGGGUGGGGGCAAACGACAGUCCUUUUGAUUCUUAUGAAUUUGAAUUGGUAAUUCAUUUACAAUAAUCGGUCAGUAACUUGGUACUUCCGAGAGUUAAGUUCUUGAAGUAGGUUGUUCUUGGGCAUAUUAGUUUGAUUGUUGUUAGUUACAUAUUCUUUUCUCUCUGGUAGUAAGUGACACCUUCUAUACUGCAACCUGAAGUACUACUUGACAUGUGCUGUUUAUUCUUUUUUCUUCAUGUUUUGAUUAUGCUGAGAGAUCUUAGCUUGUCUACAUUUCUUCCUGAUUUCAUUUGUUCAUUUCUUUUUUCGCUAUCCAAUGGAUUUUAACAAGCUUUUUAUCCAAACUAAGAGUUUGGUAUUAUGCUCCUUGUCCUAUAUUUACCUAAGAAUUGCAGUGCUUUCUUGUAUUCCAAAUCAAUGGUUUAGUAUUAGUAUUUUAAUCCAAGUCUCUAACUGUUACUUCUACAAUUCCAGUAUGCUCAUAGAAAAUGUGUUCAGAGGUGGUGCAAUGAGAAGGGAGAUAUCAUUUGUGAAAUUUGUCAUCAGGUAAUUCGCUGUAAUCCAUUGCAUAUACAGUGGUCAUUUUCAAGAGUGUUUAUAGAAUUUGUUUCAUUUCUAUGUUAGAGAUUUAUGGAUAUUCUUUGUAUUCACAUAAGUAAAGCUAUUUAGAAGCUAUCAUUGUCAUGCUUGUCCACUUCUUUGAUUGCGAAGCAUCAGUAUUUUGGUGUAUCGUGAGAAUGUUAGUGUUGUCUAAUCAAUUAACUAUGAUAAUGCAUGUAUGCAAUUUAUUAGAGCAUAUGAGCAUUUUUUGGUAACCUUUGAUGAUCUCAAUGGUUGAUUGAAUCUUUUCCAGUCAUGAAUUGCACAGUUUGUGUUCACUAUGAUGAAAAAGUUCUUUUGAUGCAGCCUUACCAACCUGGUUAUACUGCCCCAUCACCUCCUCCUCAGUCUGAAGACACUACUAUUGACAUCAGGCAAGUAUAGAAUUUAAAUAUGCUUUUGAACUUGUUUAGCCAUGGGAUUUUGACAAUCUUUUUAUUUUUUCAAAUUAAAAUUUGGAAAGAUCCGGGAAUGUGUAUUUAUGAUAGGGCUAAUUGUAUGACAAUCUUCAGGCCAAUAUGGUGUACACCUUGUCUGUUUUGACCUUUUAUAUUUUGCUUCUUGAAUUUGUCUGACAGUGAGGCCUGGACAAUCUCUGGUACCCCCUUGGAUUUACGUGAUCCUCGACUACUGGCAAUGGCAGCGGCAGAACGUCACUUUCUUGAAUCUGAAUAUGAUGAGUAUGCUGAUACAAGUGCUAAUGGAGCAGCUUUUUGCCGCUCUGCUGCUCUAAUUGUAAGCCACAAUAACCCUUGUCAAUACUAGUGAAAUGGUUUAAAUUUUUGUAUUUUUAAGGUUUUUUUUUUUUUUUUUUUUUUUGGUGAAUCUAUUGGAGGAUGAGCAAAAUCAACUCAUGUUUUUAUCUUGUGGUCUUUAUUAACAUUACUCUACUCAUUAACAGUUUUGUUCACCUCUUUAGUUUACUAAGUCUCCUUUCUUCAUGGUCAUUUGGUUUGGUGUAAUUGGUUGGCUUUCUUUUGGUCAUGCAAGUUGCAUGUUGCAUAUGCAAAUGCCCAUUUUGAAACCUUGGCAACUCUCAGUUGAACAAGAACAGUGUCAUCUUUUCCUGGUUGAGAAGUUUCUGUUAUCUACAUUGACCUUUCUCCCUUUGUUUUUUGGCAGUUAAUGGCUCUUCUACUCUUAAGGCAUGCUUUGACUCUUCCCAAUGGUGACGGGGAUGAUGAUGAUGCUUCUACAUUUUUCUCUGUAAGUGCGCUAUGGAUGUUUAAUGGGUCCAAUAAAUUUGACAAUUUUGCACCAUCUAACUCCAAUGAUUAAUUAACAGCUUUUCUUACUCCGAGCUGCUGGUUUUCUUCUUCCCUGCUACAUUAUGGCCUGGGCCAUCAGUAUAUUACAACGUCGAAGGCAAAGACAGGUUAGUAUAGGCUUUGCUGUUUUUGCAGCAACAAAUACUAAAUUAUCUCUUUUCUCUUUUCUUUUUUGAACAAGAUCACAUCUAUGAGAUUGGUUCCAUCUGAAGACUGAAAUGGGAUUUCUUCUCCAUGCUUCAACUGCACUGAAAGAAUUUAGAAAACUUGCGAACAAUUUUACUUUUGUCAUCUACAAAAAGUUUACUGCUCUUGGUAGAUGAUUGCAUGCUGUAUAAUAUUAUCUUCUUGAAAACCUUUUGCCAUCAGUGGUGUUAAUAUGAAUCAUAUGACUAUUUAUUCAGAUGGGGAUUAUACUGUCUUGUCCUUUCUCUUUUUGUUUCUGUAUUGAUGCAUAUGAUUAACUGUAGCACAUAGUGAUGCAUAGCUUCUAGAAUGACAUUGUUGGUUGCAGGUUGAUUUCGGUUAAAAUAAUGCAGUUUCCCUUUCCCCUCUUUUUUUAAAUAACAUUUUAAUCUGUUUGUCUAUUACUGUUUAUCCAGGAAGCAGCAGCACUUGCAGCAACUGAGGUUGCAUUUAUGCUGCAGGCAGGGCAACGUCGUGGAUUGCAGUUCACAAUAGCUUCAGGACCUGCUGUGACUCCCCAUCAGGAGCCAAUUCAAUAAUAUCAGUGCUCCACAAUUCUGGCGAUCUUCUUUGUUUGCGAAGAGAAUGGGAACUGAGAUUUGAGCAUAUUGUUUUUUAUGCUUAGUAGCAGUAAAGAUAAAAAUCUUUAACGAGUGUCUGUAUCCGUAAUCACAUUUUUUAAUACAGCUCACUUUCUUUCGAUAAAUGUUAUAUUCCAAUGCUAUGUAUAUAAUUUGGUUCUCAAGUAAACUACACUUGAUUCAAAAAGUGUAUUUUUCACAUAUUAUAAAACUAUCUUGGAUUUCAUGAUUUAGUUCUAGUUAGUUUACUGUUAUCUUAUUUUAUACUGCUCAUGAUGGAGUAUUGUAAAUGCUUGGCAAGCAUGUACAUAGCCUUCAUUAUGUAUCAGUAUUCUUUUUCAUCUUAUAUUCCAUGUGCUUUUAUUAUUUGGUUCCUUUUGGUUUCAAACCAACAAAACCGGUCUCUGCUCUUUCCUAUCUGCAUUUUGUUGAUUGUUGAGGUGAGGGACUCAUUGAAAUGUUGCAUUAUAUGAGUUUAUUGGAGGAUCAAAUAAACUCGUUGCAGUUUUCCAUUUACAUGAAUCUAGUUUUUGAUUCAUGCACCAUUGCUGAUGUUAAAUUUAUGUUCUGGCUUUCAGCCUUGUAGAUUCCUUGCACCAUUGCUUUCUUGGAUCCAGAUGAAGAACUAACGUUACACUGUGAUGUAGUUGUUAAAAGUUAAAUGUGAUGGUGAAGAAUGAUUUGGAAAGCAAUAGUGCAUUCAGUUCUUUUACUUUAAUACAGCUCUCAAAGCAGAGAUCAGGGAUCUAAGAGCUUAAAUCCAGCUUGGACCAUGACCAGUCCACAUCCUCCAUAGGUUUUGGUAAGUUUUCGAAAAUGAAAAGAACAGAAAUAUAAAAGAAAAUGAAGGUAGAGAAAGAAUGAAAGAUGGUCUUCAUGGAUAAGUGAGAUCAAUAUAAAGAAGGAAAAAGAAGAAGGGGAGAGGCCAGAUAUGCGAGCCAAAAUGGGUUUCCUUUGAAACUUUGAAUGAGGUAACUUAGGGAGGGAGAGUUGAGCAAGCCAAAGAGAGCAAAGAAAAGCAUAAAGGAAUUCCAUUAAGCACAAGAAACCAAGACUGUGAUUUUUGGUGCAUGGAGAGAAGAGCUUGGAAUUCUAAAGCUAGAUUGUUAGCUUAAAGCAAAGUGAGUUUGGAACAUAAAGCCAUUGCUUGGUUUGUUGUUUGGUUUGUUGUUUUUGGAGGAAGGGGGUUACUAUUCCCCACCAUUACUCCGAGUUCUCUACUUUUUAUGGCUUUUUAAUUGCAGUAGCUAUCUUCUUAACUCUUAAGGUAGUAUUUCCCUACAACCCUAAAAAUAUUCCUCAAGGUGAUGAACAAUGAUGCUGUAGUCUGUCUUUGUACCACUUCCUAUGAAUUAUUCUUUAUGUACUUGGUGGUUUGAUAUGUUUAGUAACUAGAAACUGGGUUCUUUUCAAUGAUUACAUUUCAUCUCAACUUAGCUGUGUAGCCAGUGUAGGUUUGGGUUGAGCCACAUAUUCAAAGCAUUUAGCAUAUGCUUUAGGGAGCAAAUCUUGGGUAUGGAAUACUACUUACACAUCAGCAUGCAUAGGGUGACAUGGCAAGUUAAUUAGGAAAUUACUCUAGAAGUUGAUGGAACUUGAUGCUAGUCUUGUUUGGUGAGCAAGAGCAAGGCAGAUGAUAGAUGGAUGAAGAUAUAAUGCAAAACCAAAUGACAAAAGAUACUUGGCUUCCCAAGGAUAGUGUUCCAAGUUAACUUUUUGUUCAAACCUGUCAGUCUUCUAAAACAGCCUUAUAUUGCUUCUAUGGCAGGCUUAUGAUUGAGGUGAAUCUAAAACUUCCCUACAUGUUCUGGCCUUCUGGGGCCUCUAUUGUGCUUUAUGCUUUUAGUCUUCCAAAUCCCAUAAAAGGCAUACACCCUUGGCUUAAUCCCACAGGAACGAACCAUAAGAAGGAACCAAGUCUCAAGCACACUACUCAUUUCCUUAUCAUUACUCGAGACACCGAUACCUACACUACUACCACUCCAUCUCUUGAUUUUGCAGAGUGCAAUCAAACAUGGGUGUUUUGGCUUACAAGGGGGCCAUUCUUCUUGUUUGCAUUGCGUUUUUAGCUCUACAGCCGGAAAAGGUUUCCGGGUUAAGAAGCAUGGAUUUGGCUCUGAGAUGGCAUAAAGGGCACUUCUCAUUUUUUAACAGUCUGCAUGUUGUUAAGGCUGUUGCUGUAGAGAACUUGCUGAGCUUGGCGCCUGCACCAGCAAUGACAUUCGAUCCAAGUCAAUCAAACAAACGAAAAGUUCGAAAAGGAUCAGAUCCCAUCCACAACAGAUGUUGACAUGCUGAUGCAGUUUCUGAAUGCCGGAGAGUUUUCAGGGAGCAAGAAGCUGUGGAGGCUGUAACUAAUACAAAGUUGGUUGGUUAGAAUUCUAUAUUUUCGCUUGUUUUAGUCAGUACUGUUUUUUUGUUGAGCUGAAGAACUGCAGCUGAUCGGAACAAGUCAUCGAGUGAGCAUCAUCUCUAUAAUGUAUAAACAUAGGUCCUAACCAAUAGAUGAAUACUUUGAGAAUGAAGAUGCUGGCUCUCACAGAAUACAUGCAUUUCUGAUUUUUCUAUAUAAAAGACAAGAUUUUAUAUUACGGUCCUGCACCUGUGAGCUCUGACUAAUUUUGCAUCAUAUGCCACAACCUUGAUUGUUUCACACUUCACAGGCAUUGUAACAAAGAUUUCUGCGUUUUCUCUACAAAACAACCAAUGCUUAUACAAACGUAGUAUAUCAGAACACAAUCAUGAGCUCGAAGGCUGUCAUUUCUCUUGAAAUAACUAACAUUCCCAUUCUGAGUGCAGUUACUGUAGUGAAACAGGCGAUCAAAAUCUCACAUAUUAUAGCAAAAAAGGAACAAACUUUUCAUUGAUAGUGUCAAGAAUAAAAAAUGAGCUUGUAAGUAUAUAAUAUCUACCACUCGAACAAAAAGUUGAUGUUUCAUAAAUGAUGCAAAGGUAAGACCUGCAUACAUCAGACGCUCUGAAAUGGACAAUGCCAUUUUGUUCUUAAACAAGUUGAGACCUGUCAUAUCUCCUCUUCCUGUUAUAUUUAAAUUGUACAGAUGAUAUCUUGCGAGAAACUGCCUGCCAAAUCAUAUCAACAGCAUCGCCAGGCAGGGAGGGAUACUGAUAUUCGAAAUGAUGUACAACUUCCUUCAACCUUUCCCACAUUUUGGUCCACUUCUCUUCAUUUAUUCCUCGAAGAAGUUUCAGCAGGUAACCCUUCUUUAUAGCAUCAUCCCCACGAACAAAUAUGCAAAACUGUGAGUAGUCUAAGACAUCUUCAAAUGGUACCUCAAUCUCAUCACUGAUUAUCACUGGAACACAAUGACUAGCAAUGGCAUCGAAUAAGCGAUUUGAGGAUGGGGUAUCGCCAGCUAUAUUUAAGCAAAAUUUCGAUGAGGCCAUUCCUUGGGUUGCCUUGCGAACACCGUUUCCUCCAAUGCUACCAAAAUUGAAGUCAACAUCUUUCUCAUCUUUUAGAAGAUAAUACAAUUCUUGUCGAAUUACUCCUCCCUGUAUCAAUAUAAAAAGUAAAUAUUACAUUAAUUAAGUAGAUAUUAUCAGGCUAUUCUACUAUUCUAAGCCUGACUAGUGCUUCAUCAGAAUAAUGUACGACAUAAAAAGGAAAGGGAAGAACAAUAAAGCAGCUAAAAAGAGCAAUCACAAUAGUGCAUCAAGAAAUCAUAACUAGCAAAACAAAAUUUGAAAAUCCUAAUUGGCGGAUACUUCAUAACAAGAUCAAUUCAGGGAAGUAUGAUCAGAACAAAUUAAUUCCAUCAUGCAAUUUAAUUCCAAAUAAAAGCAAACAGAAAUAAAGCAUAAUCUGCUAAAAUUAUUGAGACAUUUUAAUCAUGAAGCAAUACAACAUCAUAUCAAAAAUUGAAUGAACCAUGAUAAGAGAUGAAAGAAGGAAAGACUGACAUCUUUUCUGUAUAUUGCUCCUCGGAAAUACACUAGUAUAGGACGCUCCUUGAAUGUGGCUGAUUUGCUACUGGGAACAGUCUUCACCAAAUGUCUGUAAGGAGCGAUUAUAUCCUUCCCAAGAUUUGCUAUUUCAGCAGGAUAUCUUCCAAAAUCUGCAAGCACGAACAUGGCAGAACCCAAUUUCUUUCUUGCAUCCAACAUGCUAUUUGGAUGAUGAGCAACUAUUAAAUGAUCUUUCCCACCCUUUCUUUUCCAUUCAUUCCGGCCCAUCAAAAACUGCACCAACUUGUCCUGCAACCUCUUGUUGACACUGACUUUCUCCUUCUCAUGAAGUUUAGAAUGCCGGUUGUAACUCAGAGAUGCGAAGAAUGGCACAAAAAUAAAAUCAGCUUCUCUUGGAUUGUGCACCCUGACUAAUGUACAAGGUCUAACCACAUUUACGUUAUCUGAUGAUAAAAUAUCAAGGGUGAGCCAAUAUUCUAUACUGUGCUGUAAAUUCAGCCCGCCUGGGUAAGGUGGGAUGUGCUGUGGCCAUGUUUGAUUCUCCAUUUCUUUCCAACCCAAUAACCCAAAGUGAAAUUCAGGAGGCAAGUCAUACAUAAAUACCCUCAAAAGAGCCUGCUUCGAGUCACAAACCAUGUUCUUUCUACCAACAGAUCCCACUUUCUUGCUUGGAUUGGAAACUUGACAAGCUGAUUCACUCAUUCUUUUCAAGGGUUGUAUAGCAUCUACUUGGGGAACCUCAGAAGAGAGGAAAGAACAUUUAAUAGGUUCCUUUUCCGCAUGGGGCUCAAAGUACACAGAUGUGCCAUUAACAAGCAUAAGCUCAAACACUGAUCUGGGAAUGAAAGAUGUAUUGCCAGAUUGAAGAAGGAACACAGAAGAAAGAAUUAAAAGGAACCCAGAAACUGUUAUUAGGGAGGAAAUGAACUUUGAGGGAAUCCUACUCUUUUCUGACAUUGAUGACAUUCAGGGCACCAAACUCAGCUAACAAUGCAAUCAAUGAAAUUCAUCUAAAUAUAAAUUGCUUCAGCACAAUAUAGAAAAGACAAUGCCCAUCAAAUCAGCUUCUUAACAGAACAGGUUGAUCAGCAUAACCAUAUGGAAAGAGAGACGCCCAUCUCGAAUGAGAAGCCAAAUUCUUCUUAAACAUCAGAAGGGUUUUAACAAGGACUGAAAACUACUGGUUCUCUUGGAACCCAUUGCCAAUCUACCUAUCUCUACAGCUCUACAACCAUGAAUUCAAGAAGAAAUUCUUCCUUCUUAAGGCCAGGGUCAUAAUCUAAUAAGUUUCAACUCAAUAAAGAUAGAACCUUGAAUUUCUGGGAAAACCAAAGCCUCUCUCUUGA